rnacentral:lncRNA from 1 species
UGGAAGCGGAUCCGCUACUUCAAUCAUAUGACCUUUUGAAGAAGGCUUACAACGGGGCGGCUCAGGAUGUCAAUGGCUCAACUCAAAAGUCCCCAAAGUGGUUGAUAUCAAAGAAUGCCAUUGUCUCUGGGCUUGGGCUCCUUGGCAUCAAACAAGGGAAUGUCGACUCUGUUGAAGGGGAAGCAAGGGCUCCUAAAGUGCGAAGAAAGAGGAUAGUCCGGAAGAAGGUGACCGCAUAAAUUUCUUGGGAGUUAAUCCUAGUCAAUAGCCCAAUUUUGCUGCCUGUCGAAGAGAUACAACACGGAAGUCGUCAUCAAACUCUUUUGAGACAUCUAAGAACUAGUAGGGAGGUGUUUCCAGGCAAGUAUAGUUCACUGAUAGAGGGAUUCUUUUCUUGAUGUCUAAAUACUAUAUGUGAUACAACGUCGUAUAUUCCAAUUUUUCUCCAGUUAAAUUCUAGUAAGUUAGAAAAGUUAAUUUUGUUCUAGCGAUGAAUUGUUUUGUUAGGCAGUGUUUACUUUCUGGAGUGAGAGUGAGGAGUGUGGAUUCCUCCCAUUCCAAUGUUUACUUCAACAAAAUAGGUAGGGAUUGGGAAUCCCACUCCGUGGGCCCCACCCAUUUUUGGAGUGGGGAGUGGGAGUGGGAGUCCACUCCCACCUCUCCCUUUUCUACCCUUUAUUUUUAAUUUAAUUUAAUAAAAUAAAAUAAUUUAUAAUUAUAUUUAUUUAGAUAAUAUUAUUAUAUUUAACUAAAUAAUAAUUUACAUUGAUUAUAAGUUAAAAUUACUUAAAAUAAUAAUAUUAUAUUAAUAGAUAAUUAAUAAAUAUAUGCUAUCUUUAUUUAAUAAUAUAAUAUUAUUAUAUUUAUUUUAAAAAUAAUAUUACUAUAUUUAUUUAAUAUUAAUAAUAAUAAAUAGUUCAUUCUAAGAAAAUAUUAAUUUUUUACUAAAUAAUAUUAUAUUAAUAAAUUUAAUAUAAUUAUAUAAAAUAAAAUAAUGUUUCAUUUUAUAUUUACCCUUCUUUUUAUUAAAUUUACUAUAACUAUAUUUAAUAAAUAUUUAAAUAAUAUUAUUAUAUUUAACUAAAUAAUAAUUGGGUUUGAUUCUAAGUUUAAUUUACUUAAAAUAAUAUUAUUAUAUUAAUAGAGAAUUAAUAAUAUUACUAUAUACAAUCUUUAUUUGAAAAUAUAAUAUUGUUAUAUUUAUUUAAAAUAAUAGUAUUGUAUUUAUUUAAUAUUAAUAAUUAAUACUAAUAAAUAGUUUAUUCUAAGAAAAUAUUAAUUUCAUACUAUGUUAAUAGUAAAAAUAUUUCAUUUAUAUUGCCCUUAUCAACAAUUUUUAAUUUAUAUAAUUAAAAUUAAAAAACUUGUGAUGUUCAUAAUUAAGAAUAUUAAUAAUUAUUAUAAAUUUACAAAUAUAAUAAAAUAAAUGUUUAUUCAUUAAAUAUAUUUUAUAUUAACUUUGUAAUUAAAAACUAUAAUUCUUUACAUAAGGAUAAAAUUGUAAUUUGAGACUAUUUACUCCCAAUCAAAGACAAAGUAAACACAUAAAUUGGAUUAUGAUCUCCAUUCCAGUGCAAGUAAACAACCUACUCCCACUCCCACUCCAUACUCCCAAUCCUAGGAUUCACACUCCUCAGGAUUCCCACUCCAAUCCAAAAAAUAAACGCUACCUUAAUAACAAUAAUUGCAUGUUGCUUUGGAAUCUUAUUCACUCUCUGCAACCCAGUUAAAUUGUGCAAAUUCUACUGUAGAUUUGUCAGAGUGUCUUUGUGAUUUCUUUGAUACAAUUUUGAUCGCAAAUUUCAGUUUGAAGAAUCAUGUAAUACCAAAAAACCAUAACAUGUAAUUACUUGAUCAUACUCGACUUCCUAUUUAGUACUACCGUGUUGUUAGGGAUGGCAAUGGGCACCGCCCGCAGCGGGUUUGCCAUUACCAAACCCAAACCCGCACAAAAUUUAAAUUACCAAACCCACCCGCAACCCGCAGCGGAUUUUAAUUUUUUUACAAAAACCCACCCGCAGCGGGUUUUAACAAUUACCAAACCCGCAAUGGUGUCUGGCGGAUUUUUUGUGGGUUUCCGUAUUUAAAAUCACAAAUGUUUAAUAUAUAAAUUUAUAAUAAUAACCUCAAAUUUCAUAUAACAUACUCAAUUUUAUAUUUAAACAAUGUAAAUGAAAAAUUAAAAUUUCCACAUCAAUUCAACACAAAUUCUCAAAUUUAAGUAUAAAUUACACAAAUCCAUUUUAAAAACUCAAACUAGUAUCUAAAAAUAAUAAUUACAUUUCAUAUUAUCAUUUAAAACAAGCUCCAAGAGAAGAUAUUCAUUUCAUUCACCACCAUAAGCACCCAUCCAACACAAUGCCUAUAAUAAUAAUUAAGAUUAAUAUUUUCAAAUACUAAUUCGAAGGAAAAUGCCUUUAGUUGUUUUUAGAUUAUGACUUUAGAAUAGGAGAUAGGCCACAUAUACACAUACACAACGUUGAGCCUUUGGCUAUUUGGUAAUUUGAUUAAUGACAUUAUUUUCUUUAUACAUUUUUAGAUUAAAAUUAAAUUAAAAAUAUUUGGAAAAAAUAUUGCGGGUUUUGUGGAUAUCCAUGCGGGUAUCCACCAGAUAUAAGGUUAAUACCAAACCCACCUGCAUCCAUGUGUGGGUUUUAAUUUAUAAUACUAAACCCGCCCGCAACGGGUAAAAUUACCCGCAAUGGGCGGGUUUUGGCGGGUGGGUUUGGGCGGGUUUGUGGGUUUGCGGGUACAAUUGCCAUCCCUACGUGUUGUAGUUAUAGUUAUUGUGAAAAAGGAACUGAAACUAUAAUAUAAAUGUUGAUCUUGUUUGUAUAUAUGAUUUUUAAAUAAUAAUUUUGGUAAAAUUAAUAAAUGUAUUAUUGAUUUUUUUAUACUCCCAACUUAAUUUUUAAGUCACAAUAAUAAAUAUUUAUUAAAUACUUUGAUACUAUAACUUUAAAACUAUGCUCCGCGGCACUCUUAUCUAAUUUUAAUUGUACUUUCUAGCUCGAUUAUAGAAAUCCUUACUCGAUGUACUUUACCAUACAAGAUGUUACUUUACUUAAUCUUACUCGACUUUAAUUGCAUAUUUUAUAACGAAUUUUUUUUAAAAAAAUUGGUCCCGAUUCCAGCAAAACAGUAACUUCCAUUCAAAAGGGUUCCACGUUGAGUGCAUGUAAUCUGCACAAGUUUGAGAAGAAAUAACCAAAAAAAAAAGAAACCCACGUCCAAAGAUGCCGUUGAAACAAAGGCCUAGACACUGUAUCCCAUCCCCUUUUACCAUAUUUUAUAAUUAAAGAGGCCGUCAUUGAAUUCAAAAAUUAUGAUCCAAAAUCCAAAAAUAGAAGAAGAAUUGGAAACAUACUCGGAGUUUUAAAUUGAUAUGAGAAAAGAAUUUAUCAUUUUUUUAACAAAAAUUUAAGCUAAGACGAAAAAAUAUGCCUAAAACACCCCUCACAUUAUCCCAAAAUUUCUAAACUCCGCCAUUCCUCUGACCAUCAUCUCUCCCAAAUCAAUCUUCCCCCAAAACCAGCCAUGGCUUCAAAUUCAAUCAGCUUAACACUCCAAUAUUGCUUGUAAGCCACCCACAAGUCCUCAACUUCACAUGGACUCAAGACCAAACCCUAGCUUCCUUCCGACACAUCCUCAUUCACUCCAUCAUUACUUACCUCUCCCUCACAUCCAUCCUCUACCACACAUCAACAUCAACAUCACCAUCAUCAUCACCUCUCAUUGGACCCCACAUCCUCAGACCCAUCACAGCCAUCCAUAACAUUUUUCAUUUUGAUGCUGAAUUAUCAUUUCACGGGAUUUGGUUUCCCUGGGUUUUGGGGUUGGUGCUUCAAUACUGUGUUUAAUGCUUCCCUUUUGGCCCUUUUUGUUAAUUUUCAUUACAAGAGCUUUGCUAAGAAAAGAAGCAGAGAUGAUCAAAACAACUAGUAGUUAUCCUUGUUUUGUGUUUUCUUUUUUAAUUUAUUUGAUUUUGGUUAAUUAUGAAUGGUGGUAAUGGGUUCAUUGCCAUUGACAGAGAUGUUUCCAGUUGCCUAAACUUUGUUUUUUUCAAUUUUGGUAGUACGUGUAAUUUGUCACCACAUUUGUUUAGUCUCUCCCUUUCAAAUUCCCUCUCACACAAAAAAAUUCGGAUUUGUAUUUUGUAAACUAACAUUUUUCAUUUUGUUAAUAAAUUAAUUAUUAUUAUCUACAUUUAUGUGAUAGGACACAUGCCACAUCAAUUAAUAUUAGAUCAUGAAUUUUUGCAACCCCAGCAAAAAAAAUUUAUGAAAGAUGUUUAGGUAAGGAUUAUUUUGGUCUUCUAAAGAGUAGAUUAAAAAUCAAUGUUCAAAGUAUUAGAACAUAAAUAAUCCCAGCUUUAAUAAAAUUUUGCCACAUAAUGAUUCUUAUCUCUCAAGAGAAACAUAUAAAUAAAAUGUACAAAGUUAGAAAUAUAGAAUGCAUUAGUACAUGUCAAUAACAAGACCAAUUAGAUCAUGGCAUUACUUAAUUUUAUUUUUAUUUUUUGCUUCUUUUGAAACAAGAUCAAUUAGUUAGAUCAUUGAAAAAGAAGCAGUCAUACAAAGUUUGAAUAUAAAAUUUAUAAUCUAAAAUUAAUGAUGUGACAAUUAACAUGUUAUUAACCUAGCUAAUAGAGUAGGAAGUCCCAAAUACACCAUCUUCUGCUACAGAAAUCAAUCCUACCUAGAAUACUUCUUUUUAUUGAAAUUUAUGAUGAUUUGUUUGUUUGCAUCAUGAAAGUUAAAAAUAAUUUUGUGAGUAAUUUGAUUCUUUACGGUACAAAAAAUAAAUUCGGAAAGUAUUAAUUUCUCUCAUACUUUUAGGGCUAAAAAAUAAAAGUAAGUCUAAUAUAUUUAUUAGUUAAUGAUUAUAUAUCAAUCAUCUCUCAUACUUUUCGAUCUGAUCCAAUCCAAUCUGAAUAUUCUAGCCUAAUCAACCCGAAACCCAAUCAAGUUGAUCUGAACACAAAUUUACCCACUCCUAGCGGGGAUCAUGACCCUACAAGCUUUGAAAAAUUUUGAGGUUUCGAAGUGAAAUAUUAAAAAUUAGGUAUAAAAAGACUGAUUUGGCCCCUAAGCAAUUAAUUUGAGAAUGUUACAUUUUCCAUUUCUCUUUUUGUCGUGACAUAAUAGACUAAAACGGAAUCACAUACUUCUUCAAAUGCCCAAAUGGCUUUGGCCUAAUAAAGUUAUAUAUUGACUGUGGACUAAAACAGAGCCACAACUUUUUCGAAUGACCAAAUGAAUUAAUGAGACAAUGGCGUUUGCCUACCUUGAUAACAAAAGUCGUCGGCCAUAAUCCAUAUAGACAAAAAAAUGGUCCAUACGUUAAGGUUAAAUUGAAAAAUAUAAUAAAUAAAUUUCAUUUGUGAUGAAAUUCGUAAUGGAUUUAUUACUUAGUUAUCUUUCACAUAUUUUCUCUAUAAUAUCAUAUAAGUUAUAGACCACAGCAUGAUAUUUAUUGCAAUUAAAAUCAUUGUGAAACUGAUUUUAUUCUUUUUUUUCUUCUCAAACAAAGUAUCUAGCUAAUUGCAGAUGUAAUAAAUUACUAAUUAACAUUAUUUUAUCUGAAAAAUAUAAUAAAUAAAUUGUCAGGAGAUGAUUUUAUCUGAAAUUUCACUUGCACGGUCCAGGCCACAUACAAAUUUGUGCUGAAAUUCAUAAUGGAUUAAUAUGAUUGGGCGAAAUUACUCUAUAUAUCAUUUCAUCAAUAUCUAUUAAACGAUAAAAAAUUUAUUGAUAUUUAUAAUAAAAAAAAUCUAUCCACUAAGUCUAUUCUAGAUCAACAAUUAAUAUAUUAUAUAUAACUUCAAAAGGUUCAUCGGUGGAUUGAUCUAAGCCUUUUGUUGUAGUUUAUAAAUAUUUUGUUGCUUAUAAUGUAAGAAAUUUUACAGGAGCUGAUGCUGAGUAGUCUGAAUAAGAAAAUUAAUUAUAUUGUAAGAUACUGGGUAUUCAUGAUAAAAUAAAUAAAUAAAAAAUGAAUAAAAAUUUAAAUCCUUAAUUAAUUUUUAUCAAAUUCUUAUCAAAUAUUUAAAAAAGUAUAUAAAAUCAAUUAAUUGAUGGUAUUAUUAAUUUUCAUGAUUAAUAUUAAAUAUAAAUAAACAAUAAUGACAUAAAUUAAAGUCUCAUAAAUGGAUAACUUUUUUUUCCUUAAUCUUAUCCCAAGUCCCAACUAAAGGAAUGUGUAAAUUAGGAUUAUUAAUCCCAUAAUUUUAAGAUUAAACUUAAAUUUAGUCCCUUAGUCCAAUUCAAUUAAGCUUACCAAAUUUGAUAUAAAUAUAUAAUCACAAAAUUAGUCCAAUUCCAUACUUAAUCCUAGUAUCCGACCAUGGCCUGAUAAAAUAGUUUAGGUAAUAUACUUUUAUGACUAGGGUUGGUAGAAAAGCCCGGGCCGGCCUAGGCCCGCAGGCUUUAAGCCCGACCCGUGGUUUGAAAUUAUGGAUAAAGGCUCGUAAUUAAUGAAGCCCAUAACAUAUGGGCUCAGUUAAGGGUCUAAAUGAAAAGCCUGGGCUUAAGCCCAGGCUUUAUAAUAAAUAAUAUAUAUAUAUAUAUAUUUUAAAAAAAAUUGUAUAAUAUAUUAUGAAAUUGAAAUUAAAAAAAAAAUUUAAACAAAACAAUAAAAAAAAUCGGGCAAAGGGCAAAGGUUUUGUCACAACUCACAAAAUCCCUAAAUCGGUAAAUCAAAAUAUCAAAUUAUUCGUGUUUCGUGAGCACCAUUUCGUGAGCAGUGAGCACCUGACAAAAUCUCACUCACUGUCACGGCGUCACCGUGCCGGCGUCUCACUGUUCUCGCCACCGGCAGCCAACAGUAGAGCAUCUCUAGAUUCCAGCAGCGUCGUCCAGCCAGCAUCAGCCAUCAGCGACCCACCUUCCAGCAGCAGUAGCAGCGAGCAUCUCCCGCGUAAGGCCAAUCCCACCGCCCAGCCACCCACCGUCCAGCCACCCAGCAAGGCAGCAACAGCAUCUCCCGCGUGUCGCAGGCUCGCAGCAGUGCCUCCCAGCAAUUUCCAUCAACAUUGGUAAGCAUUUUUUUGUGUCCUCACUCCUCAGUUUCUUGAUCUUUUCUUUGUCCCUUUCAGUGAUCUGGGUAAUGCUGCAUUUGAUCUUUUCAAAGUGGACUCUUUUUGAUCUGUUUGUUGUUCUAAAUUUUGUAAUUUUUUAUAUGGGUUUCGGCCAGUGGAGGAUUUGAUUUGAUUUUUUAUAUGGGUUUCGGCUCAUUUUCUUUAAAGCUUGUAAGUGUUUGUAGGUUGUUAAGAGGAUUUCAAUAGUUAAAGUAGAAAGAUUUGAUUUGUUAGUGAUUGAGAUGAUACCGGUUUCAAUAGUUAAAGGCUGUUAAGAGGAUUCCAAUGAUAUAGAAUUUAUUUCCUGUCUUCAAUUGCAGAGUGUUUAUAUUUCUCAAUACUGUUUAAUUUCCAUAUUCAUAUUAUUUUUCUCAGCCUGUACUAAGGUGAUGUCUCCAUUGUAUAGAUACUGACAUACUGUAUGGAGUUCUGGACAUUGUAAAUUUGUUGUCCUGUCACUCCUGUGCUUGUAAAUGCAGUAUGCGUUUAGUGCAUUUACACUUAGCUUAAUUAAUUUAUUAAUUUAAUAUUUUAUCUCCUUUAAUUUUGUAUAGGUUUAUAAUGGAAAAUGUCUCUGAACCUUCUAAUUUGCCUUCAAAUCUAUCUGUGGAGUCGGAAAAUGUUCAAGAAGAAAUGCGGAGUGAUAAAAAAAGAAAACAGAGGGUUGUUUCAAAUUGUUGGGACCAUUUUACAAAACUAAAUGUUGGUAGUGUAGCAAAGGCAAAAUGCAAUCAUUGUGGAACGGUUCUUUCUUGUGGAUCGGGAACCAGUCAUUUGAAUAGACAUACUAGACAAAUUCACGGUUUUAAUCAACCGACAAAUAGUUUUAUUAAAAAAAAUUUUGAAAAUUCGUAAAAGCCCAGGCCCAGCCCUAGGCCCGGCUCGCCCAAUUUGAAUGGGCUUUGAGAGGGCCUGGACUUUUUAAACUUUAUAAGGGCCUGGUCCUGGGCUUGGCAAAGCCCGGCCCAGACCCUUAAAUUGCCAACCCUAUCUAUGACUCACAAUUUAAAUAAAUUUGAGAAUUUAUAUAAGGGAUGGAAAAUUCACAAUAAUCAUAACAUGUGCUAUCUUUUCUUCCUUUUCUUAAUUAAAUAAAAGAAAAAAAUUAAUGACAGAACCACUGCUGUGUGAUAUCGAUGAAGUCGCAUUCGCCUACCUAAUAUUGCGCAAUCAGAUAGAAAAAAGGGUCGGCUGCAUGAUUUUUCCAACUUUUGUCUUAUUUUUCUCUUUUCCACUACAAAUUAAUUUGAGAAUGUUAUAUUUUCCAAUUCUCUUUUUGUCGUGACAUAAUAGACUAAAGCGGAAUCACAUACUUUUUCAAAUGACCAAAUGGCUUUGGCCUACCUGAUAAUAAAAGGAAUGGAUCCAUACGUUAAAGCUAAAUUGAAAAAUAUAAUAAAUAAAUUGUCAGGAGAUGAUUUUAUCAAAAGUUUCACUCGCACGGUCCCGACCAAAUACAAAUUUGUGAUGAUAUUCAUAAUGAAUUUAUACAAUUAGGCGAAACUACUCUAUAUAGUUUCAUCGAUAUAUAUUAGACCAUUACAAAUAUACUAAUAUUUAUAAUAAAAAAAAUUUAUGACUAUUUUAAAUCGACUGUAUUAUAUGUGAAUUCACAAGAUUCAUAGAUAGAUUGCACUGAGCUUUUUGUUGCAGUUUACAAAUAUUUUGUUACUAAUUAUCUUAAGAGCAGCAAGUAACUAAGAAAUUUCACAAGUGCUGAUGCUGUGUACUCUGCAGAAUUAACAAUGAAUUAUUAUGAAUCAGAGAAACAGGGCAGACACUGUACAAUUAUUGACGUGGUGGAGCAGAAAGCUAGCCCCAGACAGUGACUCAUGUGGGGACUCCUUCAAUUUGCAGCACAAAAGAACGUUCACAUUGACAUUGACUUGAGGGUAAAAAUUAAAUAACUCCUAUGGUAUAAGAAGAAUGCAAACAUGCUUGAAUGAACAUUCUCACAGAAUACAUAAAACCUACUUUCCUCUGAGCAUUUUAGCAAGAAAAGCAAUUGCAUCAUUUAUCAUUUGAUCUAAUAUCAGAAUGGCUCAUGCAAUCGUUUCCUCUCUCCUGGACCAGCUGAAUUCCAUUGCUCAAGGUCAGGUGAAAGAAAAGUUGAGGCUUGUGACGGGUGUCGAACAAGAAGUGGGUAAGCUUACCACCAAUCUUCAAGCCAUUCAAGCUAUGCUGGAAGAUGCAGAGCAGAGGCAAAUGAAGCAGGACAAAGCUGUUACGUUUUGGCUGGAUCAGCUCAGAGACGCAUCCUACGACAUGGAAGAUGUGUUGGAAGAGUGGAUCACUGAAACACGGAAAUUGCAGCUUGAUGAGGGCGGCGAUGAUGAUGAUGAUGAUAACGACAAUGCUUUUGUUACUCUUUUGACGAAGGUAUGUUCCUUCUUUCCUGCUGCCUCAAACUGCUUUGGUUGUUUCAAACAACUCAGUCUUCGUCAUCAUAUUGCUGUCAAGAUUAGAGAAAUCAGUAAAAGGCUAGAUGAAAUUGCCACUCGAAAAGAUAGGUUUAAUUUUGUUGAGAAUGUGAGUAACAAUGUUAGGAAUCCAGAGCGAGUGCGAACCAUCUCCUUGAUUGAUGAGAGAGAGGUUUACGGUAGAGUUGAGGAGAAAAAUGAGCUCUUAAGCAAGUUGUUGUGUGAAAGUAGUGAACAACAAAAAGGCCUUCAUGUCAUUUCACUAGUUGGGUUGGGGGGUAUAGGUAAAACCACUCUUGCACAAUUGGCGUAUAAUAAUGAUGAGGUGAAAAUAAAUUUUGAAAAAGUUAUAUGGGUGUGUGUAUCGGACACUUUUGAUCAGAUUAGGGUUGCCAAAGCAAUCAUUGAAGAUCUAGGUGAGUCAGCUUCUGGUUUAAACGAAUUCCAAUCUCUUAUGAGCCGUAUCCAGAGUUCAAUUAAAGGAAAAAAAAAUUUUCUUGUCUUAGAUGAUGUAUGGGAUGGGGAUUACAAUGAAUGGGAACCAUUCUUCCUUUGUCUAAAAAAUGGUCUCCACGGAAGUAAAAUUUUGGUUACCACACGUAAUGAGUCAGUUGCACGUAUGAUGGGAUCAACAGAUAUUAUCUCCAUUAAGCAAUUGGCUGAAGAGGAAUGCUGGUCAUUGUUCAAGCAGUUAACAUUUUUCGGUCGUUCUUUUGAGGAUCGUGAAAAAUUAGAACCAAUGGGGCGAAAAAUUGCACACAAGUGCAAAGGCUUGCCUCUUGCUGCAAAGGUAAUAGGGAAUCUCUUGCGCUCUAAAAGUACAGUAAAAGAGUGGCAAAGAAUUUUAGAGAGUGAAAUGUGGAAAGUAGAAGAGAUUGGGCAAGGUCUUUUAGCUCCUUUGUUGUUGAGUUAUAAUGAUUUGCCCUCCAAUUCUAUGGUAAAACGGUGUUUCUCAUAUUGUGCUGUCUUUCCAAAAGACUACAAUAUGGAUAAAGAGGAAUUGAUUAAUCUGUGGAUGGCUCAAGGUUACCUUAAUGCAGAAGAAGACGAAGAGAUGGAGAUGAUUGGGGAAGAGUGUUUCAACAUUUUAGCAACACGCUCUUUCUUUCAAGAAUUUAAGAAAAAUGCUGAUGAUGAUAUUAUGAGUUGUAAGAUGCAUGACAUAGUACAUGAUUUUGCCCAAUUUGUAAGUAGCAAAGAAUGUUUGUGGGUAGAAAUUAAUGGUACCAAAGAAUCAGUCAUAAACUCUUUUGGUGACAAAGUCCGUCACUUAGGGUUAAAUUUUCAAAGAGGCACUUCAUUUCCUAUGUCCAUUCGUGGACUUGAUAGAUUGCGUACCCUCCUAAUUGAUGAUGGAAGUCUGUCUCUUAGUAGUAGCAUCCUUUCGGAGUUAUUUAGUAAAUUGGCGUGUUUAAGGGCAUUAGUUAUAAUGCAAGGUUUUCAUCCUGAGACAAGUAGGAUUAGAGAAAUUCCAAAAAAUGUCGGAAAAUUGAUACAUUUAAAAUAUCUUAAUUUGAAUAGACUAUGUAUAGAGAUACUACCUGAGACUUUGUGUGAAUUAUAUAAUUUACAAAAGCUAGAUAUUAGUUGGUGCCGAAAUCUUAGAGAAUUGCCAGCGGGGAUUGGAAAGUUAAAGAACAUGAGGAGUUUACUGAAUGAUAACACUUAUUCAUUGAAGUACAUGCCGAUAGGGAUUUCCAAAUUAACCAAUCUUCGAACAUUAAAAAAGUUUGUGGUGGGUGGAGGUGUUGAUGGUAGCAAUACGCGUAGGCUUGAAUCUCUGAAAAAUCUUCAACUCCUUCGAGAAUGUGGAAUAGAAGGGCUGGGUAAUGUGUCCCAUUUAGAUGAGGCUGAGAGGUUACAACUUUACAAUAAGAAAAACCUCCUUCGUUUGCGUCUUGUGUUUGGUGGAGUCUUACAUGGGGAAGGCGAGAAAGAUAAACAACUUCUUGAAGCCUUACAACCGCCUUUGAAUGUAGAGGAAUUAUGGAUUAUGUUCUACCGAGGCAACAUUUUUCCCAAAUGGUUGACUUUGCUAACCAAUCUAAGGAAUUUAACACUUUCCUUGUGCAUUAACUGUGAGCAUUUGCCUCCUUUGGGAAAAUUGCCUCUGGAAAAACUCAAACUAUGGAAAUUAAAAAGUGUAAAAAGAGUGGGUAAUGAGUUUUUGGGAAUAGAAGAAAGCAGUGAGGACGACCCAUCUUCAUCUUCAUCGUCAUCAUCAGUUAUUGCCUUCCCCAAAUUGAAAUCACUCGAAAUUGUAGCAUUGGAAGAAUUGGAAGAGUGGAAUUACAGGAUUACGAGGAAGGAAAACAUCUCCAUCAUGCCCCGUCUUUCUUUCUUAAAAGUUGUUUUUUGCAACAAAUUAAAGGCGCUGCCGGAUUACCUUCUUCAAACGACGGCACUGCAGGAACUGCGUAUUUUUUCUUGUGAUCUUCUAGAAGAACUGCCCAUUCUAGAAGAUCGCAGGACAACAGACAUACCACGUCUUUCUUCCUUGCGAAUUUCGGAUUGCCCCAAAUUAAAGGUGCUGCCGGAUUACCUUCUUCGGACGACGACGCUGCAGGAAUUGACAAUUUGGAGAUGUCUCAUUCUGGAAAACCGUUAUAGAGAGGGGGAAGGAGAAGACUGGUAUAAGAUAUCCCACAUUCCCCACAUCAAGUGGUCGCCGUAAGAUAUCACUCGCCGGUAAUUUCUCCUCCUCCUCUGAUUUACUUCGUUGUUGCUUGCAAUGAAAUUAAUAAAAAUAAUUAUAUUUUGAAUUAAAAUUCUAUAUAGAAUCAAUCAUGGUAUAAAUAUGUAAAACUUCCUAGUUAUCAAAUCUGUUAAACUUGUUUUCUAAAGAUUAAAUAAUUAAAAAAAAACCAAGUGUAGUAUGUUGAAAUUUCUAUAUUUUCUUUUAAAAAAUUUGUGCUCUUUUAUAAAAUUUGAUACAACAUCGUAGAAAAUCCCAAUGUAAUUUAUUUUUUAAUGUACGAAAAGUUGUUAUGUGUAACUUCCUGAGAGAAAAAAUCUCUGUGAUACAUUUGCAGUAAUGUUGAAAACUAAAUUAUCAAUUUUAUCUUGUAUAAUGAUAAUCGUAUUUUUUUAUAUAUAAUUUAUGUGACAUUAAUUCUUUAAAGUAAUUGUGUAAUUGUUUUUAGUAGUACAUUAGCCCACUUUGUUUUAUUUCAUACGAGUUUAAUUAUGUUCACCAGGGAUUCGAGGAAAUGUCAGAACCACACUAGCAAUUCACAGGUCCAAUCUAAUUUGGUUUUAAUGAUGCAGGCAGGAGAGUAUUCUAAGAAAAUGAAAAGUUUAGCCAAAGGAUUGCUAAAAUGUUCUGCUGGUAAUUCACUUGCUUUAUUUUAUAGAAUUUCAUUUCCAUCUUCUUCUAUUGAUAUCUUGUUGUGAAUAAACAAGAACAGAGAAGUAAAUGAUUGAACCACAGAGAAGUAAAGAUAUAUCCAAAUUCGAUUAUUAUGAUGAUUAAAGCAAGCUCAAGCUCACGCAUUGCAUUUUUUAUUUUAUUUAGUUUAUAGAAUUUUCAUUUCCACCUGCAUUGCAUUUUUAUUUCAUUUUUAGGUUGACGUUGAAGACUCUAUGGAAAACAUUGGGGUAACCAAGGAUUAUCACUGUGGUUAUUGUGCAACGUUUGGUUGCUGGACUUUGAAGAAGGAAGUGAUGGCCGGGUCUGCUCUGUUUCAAUUGAGGAUGGAUAGCUGCCUGAAAGACAUGAUGAUUAUUAUUGCAUGAUGUUUAGGUGCUAAGAUAAUCAUUUAUAUCUUGCUUCAUUCUUGGAAUCAUUUAUCCUAUAUAAACAUAUUGAAUUGUGCUAAUAUUAUCAAUUUUUUCACCUAAUUUUCACUGUUGUUGUGAAAAGAAUUUCAGGCUCUCAAAAGCUACAAAGCAAAGCAUUUGUGGGCUGAUCAUAUGUUUCAAUUGAGGAAGGAGCUUGGUGUUGGCAAUAUUGUCCAGGUAACCACAGCUGAUAAUUUCCACAAAUUUGCAUUGUCAGAAUACACUUUAAUGUUCAUGGUGUUCCUCUGUGUUAUCAGGUUAUCGUGGUAUGUAAAGUAUCAUCUUUAAGGAUUUGUAAUAGACUUUGCAUUAAACUUAGUUGUCACCAGCUCCUGCAAUUGCUCACUCAUUCAAGAGUACUUCAAAAUUAGAUUUUCAAGGUUUGUAUGUUUAGUUGUGAUCAAAAUGUUUAGUCACUCAUUCUUAAUCUUUUCUGAUUUUCAAGUUCUUUAGGGUCAUAAACAGUUUUCCAACUCAUUCUUAAUUUUUAGGUUGAUUUCGAGUACCAUGUUGAGGACAUUCCUGAGACCAAGGAUUAGGCUGGCGAAGGAACCACUACCUCUGUUGUUAUUGUGCAAGGUUUGAUCAUUGGACCUUGAAUAAGAAUCCCUUACACGCAUUCUGUAAUUGAAGCGUUCUCUAAAGCAACAGAGCAGUUGAAGGAAUAGUGAUGGCCGGAUCUGCUCUAUCUUAAUUGAAGAUCUCUGUGAUGUUGAGGAGCUUAAAGCAGUUGUUGCUUUUUGAUUCCUGAAGACGAGUAUCUAAUGAUUGUUAAGGCGUAUUUCAUGAACUUCCUUUCUUAACGAAUGUUUCAAUGCUGGCUGUAGUAACAAUUUCAUAUCUUGCAUCUCUCGGGUGCAUCAUGUUCACGGGUUUGAAAAAGCAUUUGUGGUAAUGCUUCAAAGCUUGUACAAUGGCUGUGAAAAGGCACAUUCAAUUAGGUACGUUUUGGUGCGGUCUCCCAAUGCUAAUAUUAUAUUUUGUAUAGCAAUUAAAAUUUAGCUAUACAAUCUUAAUAUGCAAUAAAUCAUUGUAUACAAAGUUUUCUAUUAAUUAUAUGGUGACUGAAAUUUUAAUUAUCAUAUAUCAAUUUAAAUUUUUUUGUUACUCUCUUUUACUUUGCUUGUACAGAGUACCUGUUUUGGCUGAUAUGUCUAAUUCGUAGAAAUUCAUUUCCAUCGGUUUCCAUUGGCUUUAGCACAAACCGAAACAGAUCUCUGGGGAAAAGUUUUACUUCUUGUGAUAUUAUGCCUUUGUUUCUUCAUUCAUCAUAUUUUUCGAAUUCAUGCUCUCAUUCAGAGGGUAAAGCCUUUUUGAUGCAGCGGAAGUUUAAUGUUCAAAAUAUUCCGUUGAUUCUAGAGAAUACCGGAAUAAAAGAACAACUAAAUUCACGUUGAUUCAAAAGAAUACCGCGAACUUAGGGGUUAAGACUCGUUGAUUCAGAAUACCGAGAAUUAACUAUUCAAAUACUCACAAAGAGAUUUGAAAAUUGAAAUAUUAUUGAACUCAAAAUUCUCUACUUGUAAAAGUUACAAAAGACACUUAUUUAUACUAAAUAAGACUUAUCCUAAUAUGAUUAGAAAACCUAUUUUAAUAAGACUUAUGCCUAAAUUAGGAAUAUUAUCCAAAUAAGCAAUACCUAAACAAUAAGACUCUAAAUAGGAAACCAAAUUAAACUAGAAUACAAAUUAAUUAAAAUAUUCCUAAAUAUUAUACAUUUAAAUAUAAUUAGGAUUUCUUCAAUUUCUUGCUAUGCAUCAUUCCCGCCAGGUUGGAGAAAAUUCGUCCUCGAAUUUUGUAUAUUGUAAUCUUCAAGAAUAUCUUCAUGUGCAUAAGGAUUAAUUUUUAAAACAGAGCUUUGACAUAGACGACGAACUUUAAAUUUUCCAACUUUUGUAAUAACGUCCAUCCAAUCACUCCAAUGGCGUAAAAUAAAUUCUUCUAUCAACAACUUCUCCAAUAAUGUCUUCUCAUAUUGUUCGUGUCGAACUUCAACAUAGUUAAGGAAAAAUGAUUUUUUCUUAUAAUCCACUAACUGUUGAAAAAUAUCACAACUCUUUUUGUCUUCUUUCGGCAAAUCAAGAGAACAAUAAGAGAUUGUAUCAAUAACUAUCUCUCUCUCCUCCACAAGAUCAAAAGAUGGAUAAACAAUUACCUCUUCUCGUCCCACAAUAUCAAGAUUCUCAUCAAAUUUCGGCGAUUGAUCCAAAUCAAUAUUGUCUUUGUGUUGAGGAUUUGUUGUAGACAUGAAUGGCCAAUUAAUAUUCUCCUCGGAAGGAAUAAUAUUGUCGAAAGGAACAAAGUUACAAUUUUCCUCAUUAUCUUCAUAACAAACAUCACCGUGAACAACUUCAUCAAAUCCAUAUGCAUGCUUUAUGUGUAAAGAUUUUCUAUCUCGAAUUUUCUCUAAAUCUUGAGAAAUUGAACGCAAAAUCCUCAACAUCUUAACUAAAACAUCUCUCAAGAUGAAAUCUUCACGUCGAUAUUGUGAUUUCAUGAUAUAAUUUUUUUCUUUUUUUUUUCCUAUGCUUUUUUUUGGUGUUGUUUGGGUUUUUUUUUUUUAAACUAAACGGAAAAAAACAAAAAAGGAAAAAAGGAAAGGUUUGGUGGUAGAUGGAGUUAGAUUGGUGAGACCAGGUUUUGGCUCUGAUACCAAGCUGAUGCAGCGGAAGUUUAAUGUUCAAAAUAUUCCGUUGAUUCUAGAGAAUACCGGAAUAAAAGAACAACUAAAUUCACGUUGAUUCAAAAGAAUACCGCGAACUUAGGGGUUAAGACUCGUUGAUUCAGAAUACCGAGAAUUAACUAUUCAAAUACUCACAAAGAGAUUUGAAAAUUGAAAUAUUAUUGAACUCAAAAUUCUCUACUUGUAAAAGUUACAAAAUACACUUAUUUAUACUAAAUAAGACUUAUCCUAAUAUGAUUAGAAAACCUAUUUUAAUAAGACUUAUGCCUAAAUUAGGAAUAUUACCCAAAUAAGCAAUACCUAAACAAUAAGACUCUAAAUAGGAAACCAAAUUAAACUAGAAUACAAAUUAAUUAAAAUAUUCCUAAAUAUUAUACAUUUAAAUAUAAUUAGGAUUUCUUCAAUUUCUUGCUCUGCAUCACUUUUCCAGGCUGCUUUGUAGCCAAACUUUGACGCCUUUGAUGCAUGACUGUCAUUUAGAUUUUCCAAAUAACUGUUAGAUUGGAGAAGAAUAAGAAGAUACUGUUAAAAGGGUAUUUAAUUAGCGCCCUCUGAAUUUCUUGGAGUUAAUGUAGUCAAUUGCCCAAUUUUGCUUCAAACUCUGAGACACCUAAUAAAUAGUUGGAGGUGGUGGUAUUCGCCUGGUGUUAAUUUCCUGGCAAGUAUAGUUCACAGAUAGAGGGGUUCUUUUCUUGAUGUCUAAUUACCGUAUGUGAUACAACAUCGUGUAUUCCAAUUUUUCUCCAGUUAAAUUUUAAUACGUUAGAAAAGUUAAUUUUUUUUUAGCAAUGAAUUGUUUUCUUAAUAAUAAUAAUUGCCAUGUUCCUCUGAAGUCUUAUUAAUACCAGACCACCAACUACUAGGUUCAUCUCUCGUUCACUUCCUCAGGGAAUCUCGAGGGCAUUCAUUGGCAGGUAGUCUUUCUUGUUGAGCUCCUGGAAUUACUUUUAAUUUAUCAUUUGUUGGGUUUUGCUUUUUGAUUGCUUUGGGAUUUGUGUUAUUAUCGCUUUGUCGCUCAUUAAUCUUGGCUGUUUUGAAUCUGUGUUGGAUUUAGAAGUUUGGAGUUGAAAACAGUUAAAGCUUAGACUAGUAGAAGAGAUUUAUACAUUCAUUUAUCUUGGACAAAGUUUUUGGGGGAAAAAAAAAUUAUAAGUAUACACUUUCCAAUGGUUCGGUGAUGUUUGAUUGGUUUAAAGAUGUUGGAUCUCUCAUCAGAUUUCUUAUGUAUCGACUGCUGUUGCCACAGGAUGCUUGCAGAUCCUGCUUUUUUGUAUAAACUUCUACUAGAGCAGGCUGCCACAAUUGGUUGCACUGUUUUGUGGGAGUUGGAGAAUCAUAAGGAGAGGUGUGUUUUUUCUCUCAUAACAAAGGAACUCUUCCCUUCCUUUUUAUUUUCAUCUUAUAUAUUAAGCUAAUAAAUGUUUGCUUCUGUCGUGAUGGGAUAAAGCAAGAAUGGGAUCAGCUUAGUUUUGGUGCUUUCCUUGGACUAUAUGCAAACAUGAGAUAUCAGCUAUUGUGUGGAUUUGAUAGAGCGGUCAUCAACCAUUUUGAUGUUACCAGGUUAUCUCUCCCUCUCCCUCUUCUACGCAUUUGUUUAUUGAUCUACAUCUCUAUAUACAUUGAUAGACUAUUCUGGACGUACCAAAUUACCCUUGUUUUAAUGUUUUGCCUGGGGAAUCUGUUUAUUUGUCUGAUAAGAGGUUAGUGUGGUUUCUAUUGAAGUGUGUAGAUCUAUCACCAAGUAUUAUUUCAAUUUUUCUUUACUUAAUCAACUUGCAUCCUUUCCAAGUCCAGAUCCUUAACAAUAGUGCGACAUCGCUACAGAAGUACAAUUUCUCUAGUUUGACAGUUAAAUACGUAAGAAUGGUUUUAAAUUAACUGAACUCUGUGAUAGUUCUCUAAGGAAAUACAAGUGGUGAAUCCGGUUCCAACUUUUAAGUGCCUUAAUUUACCCAUUUGUUCAGCCCUGUGUGUAAACAAUCAGUAAUUGUUGUCCAAAUUAUACUUUACUGCCUAUAUGUGUUGGACUUUGUCUAUUGUUCAACUUCUCAAAUGGAUUCCAUGCAGGGUUCUUAAUGUCCAAUUAGGAGAAAGAUCAAGGCUUGCUUGGCUAGGAGUGGAAGCGGAUCCGCUACUUCAAUCAUAUGACCUUUUGAAGAAGGCUUACAACGGGGCGGCUCAGGAUGUCAAUGGCUCAACUCAAAAGUCCCCAAGGUGGUUGAUAUCAAAGAAUGCCAAUGUCUCUGGGCUUGGGCUCCUUGGCAUCAAACAAGGGAAUGUCGACUCUGUUGAAGGGGAAGCAAGGGCUCCUAAAGUGCGAAGAAAGAGGAUAGUCCGGAAGAAGGUGACCGCAUAAAUUUCUUGGGAGUUAAUCCGAGUCAAUAGCCCAAUUUUGCUGCCUGUCGAAGAGAUACAACUCGGAAGUCGUCAUCAAACUCUUUGAGACAUCUAAGAACUCGGAGGGAGGUGGUGGUAUUCAGUGUGUUUCCUGGCAAGUAUAGUGCAGUGAUAGAGGGAUUCUUUUCUUGAUGUCUAAAUACUAUAUGUGAUACAACGUCGUAUAUUCCAAUUUUUCUCCAGUUAAAUUUUAGUAAGUUAGAAAAGUUAAUUUUGUUAUAGCGAUGAAUUGUUUUCUUAACAAUAAUAAUGGCCUGUUGUUUUGGAAUCUUAUUCACUCUUGUAACCUAGUUAAAUUGUGCAAAGUCUACUGCAGAUUUGUCAAACUGAGUGUCUUUGUGAUUGUUUUGAUACACUUUUGAUCGCAAGUUCAAGUUUGAAUCAUCUUGUAAUGCCAAGAAAACCAUAGCGCUAUUAGUUACUAGAUCGCACUCGAGUUUUUGUUUGACUUUUAACUACGAGAUCAGCUUUUAGUAUUAGCUGUAGUUAUAAUAUAAACGUUAAUUAUGAAACUCUUACCAAAUUUUAGUUGUACUUUCUAGCCCGAUUGUAGAAAUCCAUACAAGAUGCUACUCAAUUUUACUUAAUCUUACUCGUCUUUGAUUUGUAAAUUUUAUGCCUAAAUUUUUGUCAACAAAUUGGUCCCAGUUCCAAGGUUCUUCAGCUUGGGUGAUCCCAGCAAAACCAUUACGUCCAUUCAAAAGGGUUCCACGUUGAGUGCACGAGAUCCACAAGUUUGAUUGGGCAGAAAUACCUGAUGAAAAACCUGAUGAAACCCACGUCCAAAGAUGCCUUUUGUUGCGGAGGCCUAGACGCGACACCCCAUCCCCUUUUACCAUAUUUUAUAAUUGAAGAGGCCAUUAUUGAAUUUAAAAAUUAUGAUUCAAAAUCCAAAAAUAGAAAAAGAAAAACAACCGUUGGAAACCACUCGAAAUUUUAAGUUGAUAUGAGAAAAGAUUUUUUCAUCAUCAUCAUUACUAUUAUUUCUUUUUAACAAAAAUUAAGCUAAGACAACAUUAUAUACCCAAAAUACCCCUCACAUUAUCCCAAACUUUCUAAACUCCCCCACUCCUCUCAACAUCAUCUCUUCCAAAUCUUUCUUCCUCCAAAAAGCAGCCAUGGCUUCAAAUUCAAUCACCUCAACACUCCAAUAUUGGCUUGUAAACCACCCCAAAAUCCUCAACUUCACAUGGACUCAAAACCAAACCCCAGCUUCCUCCCCACACUUCCUCAUUCUCUCCAUCCUCACUUACCUCUCCCUCACAUUCAUCCUCUACCACAAAUUAACGCCAACAUCACCAUCAUCAUCACCUCUCAUUGGACCCCACAUCCUCAAGCCCAUCACAGCCGUCCAUAACCUCACCCUCCUCCUCCUCUCCCUCGUCAUGGCCGUUGGUUGCACUCUCUCCAUCGUCCUCCAUUCACCCAACCUCCGUCACACCCUCUGUUUCCCCCCCACCAUUUCUGCCUCCGGUCCCCUCUUCUUCUACGCUUACAUCUUCUACCUCUCCAAAAUACUCGAAUUCCUAGACACCCUUUUGAUCAUUUUGUCAAACUCCAUCCAACGGCUCACGUUCCUCCACGUCUACCACCAUGCAACCGUCGUCGUAAUGUGCUACCUUUGGUUACAGACGAAGCAGUCUUUGUUUCCUAUCGCACUUGUCACCAAUGCAAGUGUGCACGUGAUCAUGUACGGGUACUAUCUAUUGUGUGUGAUGGGGUUGCGGCCAAAGUGGAAGAGAUUGGUCACUGACUGUCAGAUUGUUCAGUUCGUGUUUAGUUUUGUUGUUUCAGUUUUGAUGCUGUAUUAUCAUUUUGCGGGAUUUGGAUGCUCUGGGAUCUUGGGUUGGUGCUUCAAUGCUGUGUUUAAUGCUUCCCUCUUGACACUUUUUAUUAAUUUUCAUUCCAAGAGCUAUGCUAAGAAAAAGCAGGGAUGAUCAAAACAAAUCGUCGUUGUGAUUGUUCUCUGUGUGUGUUUUUUUUUUGUGGUUAAUUAUGAAUGGUUGUGAUCGGUUCAUUGCAUUUGACAGAGAUGUUGAAGGGUUAUGUACUGGAAAAUAGAAAUUAAACCAACAUUAUCACUAUAACUGGUACAUUAUUACCAUCACAGAUCAAGAUCUGAAUGGACGCAUAGCAGCCAUCCUCAAAACCAAAGGAGGAGAAAAUUGAACUAGAACAACCACCUUAAGGUGAAGAAGGCCAGAACAAGACACACAUCCUCAAAUCAUAAGGAAGAGGUGGGUGCAACCAAAAAAAAAAAAAAGAAGAAAUCAAGAAUCCACUGGAGAAGGCAAGAAAGAUUUUUGCCUCCGAAGAUUCGGUGAGGAAGAGAUGAGGAGUUUGGAGCGGAAAAGUUUUCGGAGAGAUCUGCAGAUUAGCUUUAAAAGUGUGUUUUAAAGAAAAAGUUGUUGAGAACUUGAGAGGAUACAUAUGCAAUCAAAACUUUACUCUUCAUGUUUGUGGACUAUGUGGAAUGUUUAUCCACUGAGUGUAAUCGUGACGGUUGGAUUGAGUGAUUAAAAUCACACGGCUGAUAUUAGUUGGUUCUAUGUUGGAGUUGAUCCAACAUAGCCGGAGCCUUUAAAUAAAAAACAUUACAACUCAUGCAUCCAAGCACUUAAAGUUGGCUUGAGUGCAUGGGUUGUUGUCAGUUUUCUUCCUAAUUAAAUUAGGUAGGGAUAAAAUUAUCUCUUUAUUAAUAAGAAUAAAGUAGAUAUCUCUCUCGAUUUUCCUCUUAAUUAAACUGAAUAGGAGUAAAAUUAUCUUCUAAUUAAUAAGGAUAUACUAUAUAUCUCUCUAAUAUUAUGUGAUGGUAGAAAUUUAGGUUGUACGGUAAUAGAAUUAUCAAGGAUAGUCUUGAUAGAAUUAAUGCAAAGAAUUAAGAUAAAGCCUCAAAGAUGGAACAAAGGUUAAAAAAAAAAAAAAGAGUACAAGACAAAGAAAUAAGGAAACAAAAGAAGACCAAGAAUAAAAGAAAACAUAAUUUGGAAAACAAAAAAAUGGAUUGCAAUUUUAAAUUUUGAUUAAGGAUAAAUUGUAGUGGAUGCAAUUGUUGGUAAUUUAUUAUAUUUCAAAGCUCAAAUAAGGAAUAAAAUUAUUAUUAUGAUUAUUAUUAUUUUGCAAUAACUCGUUUCAAAUUUUAAAAGAUUAUAACUUUUUGUUUUUCAACAUUUUAAUCAUAAAUUAAAAAGGAGUUACUAUUCAAGAUUCCUAAGAAUACUGAAAAAAAUGAUAAAUAUUAUUCUAAGAAAAUGAUAUAUAUUGGAUAUACUGAAAUAUUAUAAAUUAUUAAAUAUUUUACUAUUUUACCCCUUAGUUUGAUGUUUGGGGAAAAAAUACUAAAAUGGCUUUCAAUAAAAAGAAUUAUUAUUAAAAAAAUAAGAUUAAAAUUAUAACAAAUGAUAUUAAUAAGAAAGAAACUGAUAAAAAUUUGGGUUUCGAAAUAGGGGUUAAGGCUUCAGUCCUUGAAUUUCUCGACAUUUUAUAUACUUUUAAUUUUUAACCUGUCAAAUUACAUUAUUAAUGGAAUGUCAAUAAAUUUUGUGCGUUAAUUUUUGUUUUAGAUACUUUAAAAGGUAAAAUGGUAUUUUGGAUGGUAAAAGUCAACUAAUUAAUUAAAUAUUUAUAUUCCUAGGAAAUUAUUUUUUAAAUUUUCAUUGUGGUGAUAUCAUAAAAUAAAUUUGUGAUUAUCAUACUUGUUUUAUAGAUUAAGAUAUAAGUAAAAGUUAAAUUAAUCUUUCAAUGGUUUUUUUACUUUUUUUUUUCUAUAGGGAGUUAUUAUUAAUAAUUUUUUUUGUCGUCUAACUUGAAAUAUAAUAGACCUUAAGGGGCAAAAUAAAAUUAUUCUUGUUAACUCCACGAAACUAUUAAUUAGUUAGGGUUAGGGGCAUUCUCGUAUUUUUCAAGUCAACAUCAAUUAACUAUUAAAAAUAAUGGCAUUUGGCAGGUAAAUUGAAGUUUUCAUACUUUUGGAGGGUAAAUUGAAGUAUUUCAAUCUAAUAAGGGUGUGGGACGAAAUUUAACUAUAAGUAAAUUAUCCGUGAGGCAUGCUUUUUACAACUUUUGUUUUCUUCUUUUUUUUUCUUUUGAGUUUUUGUUUUUGUUUUACAUGGCAUUGGCCCGACCAGUACAAAUUAAUUUUAGAAUAUUUACAAUUAUGUACCAUAGUUGUGGAGUAGAAUCAUAGAAAUUAAAGAUGGUAAAAUUAUUGACGUGUGGGGUGGGGGAGGAUAACUAUUAACUUUUUUCAUGCAAUCUAAGAAGAAUGCAACUGCUCCUUUGAUUUGGUAUUUUCGUAACAAAAGCACACUGAACAUCUUAUCAAAUUAUUUCUCCUUUUCCUUGUCAGAAUGGCGGAUGCGAUCGCUUCCCCUCUUCUUGGGCAACUGAACUCCUUUGCUGCUUAUGAAUAAGGAUUUGAGUUCCAUUUGUCUUCCUUUUCUUAUUUAGAUUAGAAGGAUUUUAUUAUCAUAUAAUAUUUUGGAUUUGCCUAUUUUGGUAAAUUCCUAAUAUUUAUGUUUCUAUAAAAGUGGUUCAAUACCCAAUUUUGUUUGUUCAAAUUAUUCGCAAUAAAACUUAUUAUUUAAAAACCUGGUUUCUAUUAUCUAAUAGCCUUUUAAUGUUUCCUCAUCGUCAGCUGAUAUUAGAGUAAGUUCGCUUGUUAUCAUGAUGUGACCACACAAAGGAACAACCGUCCCGAAGACAUUCAAGGGAAGUAGACAACGACUGUGGAGGCAGAGCAAAGCUCAGGGAAGGCUAACCCGGGCUGCAGCCCGGGUAAGCUUUUUGAAAAAAAAAAUUAUUUAUAAUUUAUAAAUUUACUUUUAUUAGUAUUUAUAAAAAAAUAAAAACAAACCCAAUAAUUAUAGGAAUCUUUAUUUUCCCCAAAUUACAAUUCAUAAAACUCACCAGUAUCUAACUAAAUCUGAAUUUAAAAUUCACCAAAAUUCAAUUGCUCAAGUCUCUUACCGUUGCUGAAUACCCAGUCUCCUGCGCUCGAAUUGACGCCUAGCCACUGCCUCAUGAGUGACGCCGAACCACUGCCGCAAGGCCCGCACCCACAGGUUGAAUCUCUUACCGCUGAGCCGACGCCGAAUGCCCAGUCUCUUGAUGCGGCCCCUGGUACAAAGCACUUUGCCUUUUAAACUUUAGUUUAUAGAAUAUAAUAUGAUUUUAUGAUAAUGAUGGUUGGCACACGAAGUGGAAUUGUGGAAGACUGGAAGUUGUUGAUUUUGUGAACUGUGAUUCAUCUUUUUAAAAUUAUAAAAUAAUAGAAUGUGAAAAACGGUGAUGAUAGCAUAUAAAGUGGAACUGUGAAAGGUGUUGAUUCAUCUUCUUGUAAUUAUAAAAUAAUGAUGGCAUGAAAGAAUGAGUGAAUAAAAUAGUAAAACAAUUAAUUUGAAUGCUGACUUUUUUAAUUAGCUUUUAACUUGCGAUUUUGUCAAAUUUUUUAUAAAACAAAUACUAAAUUUUUAAUGUAUUUUAUUAUAGAUUCAAUGUUAAAUAAACCAAGGAAAACUCUACUUUCUUUUUUUAAGAGAGUAGGUGAAAAUCAAUCAUCCACCAAGUCUUUAUCUCCAUGUCAAGUUAAUGCUCAAGAUUCCAGUGAGCAACAUACUUCCAAGUUUCAAAGGGUUGAAGUUGAAGAAACUAGAAAUACUUAUCUGGAGUGUGAUCUUGGAUUACGUCAUCAAAUAGGGACGUAUUCAGUAAAUCAACGUGAUGAUAUUAGAAGGGAGUACAUCAAAAUGGGACCUUAUCAUCCUAAACUACGAGAUUAUCCACUAACUAAUGAUGGCAUGCAAGAACGUAGGUUUCACUGUCACUGGUUUAAAAAAUUUCCAUGGCUUGAGUACUCUGAGGUAAAAGAUAGUGCAUUUUGUUUUCCAUGCUUUCUUUUUGAUGAAAUUCCAUCAAACAACCCAAAAUUUUUUAUUGAAGGAUUUUCUAGUUGGAAGAGAGUCAACAAUGGAAAAACAUGUCCUUUUUUAUAGCAUGAAGGGGGUCCAUCUUCUCAUCAUAAUGAGAAUAUGCAGAGUUGGGGUUGUUUGAGGAACCCAAUUCAACACAUUGAUAGAUUAAUUAAUGCCCAAACUUCACAACAACUUUUGGAGAAUAGCCUACGAUUGAAGACCUCAAUUAUUGCAGUUAAAUGGUUAGCAAAGCAAGCAUGUGCUUUUAGAGGUCAUGAUGAACUAGUUAAUUCAAGAAAUCGGGGAACUUUCAUAGAGUUGAUAAAGCAUUUAGCGGAGUGUAGUAAAGAAAUUACUCAAGUUGUCUUGGAAAAUGCUCCAUCGUAUGCUAAGUAUACAUCGUCUGACAUUCAAAAAGAGCUUUUAAAUAUUCUUGCAAACAAAGUGAGAAACAAGAUACGCAAGGAACUUGGAGAUGGUAAGUUUUGUAUUUUAGUAGACGAAGCACUUGAGGAAUCAGAUAAAGAGCAAAUGGCUAUUAUUUUAAGGUAUGUGUGAUUGUGAUGGAUAUAUUCGAGAACGUUUUUUUGAAGUUGUCAAUGUCAUGGAAACUACAGCAGUAACAUUGAAAAAAGAAAUAUGUAAUGUUCUUGCACGAUAUGAUCUUUUAGUUGAAAAUAUCCGAGGGCAAGGGUAUGAUGGUGCUAGUAACAUGCGGGAUGCAUGGAAUGGAUUACAAGCAUUAUUUUUGAAAGAUUGCCCAUAUGCAUAUAAUAUACAUUGUUUUGCACAUCAACUACUUGCUUUAGUUGCAGCAUCUAAUGAUGUGCCAGAUGUAUGGCUUUUCUUUUCAGCAUUGGGUUCAAUUGUAAAUGUUCUGACUUCAUCUGCUAAAUGACUUUCUGAGUUAAAAUCUGUUUGGGAAGCAGAAAUAAUAGAUUUGAUAGCUUCAGGAGAAGUUCAAACUGGUACAGGGGCCAAUCAAAUUUAUACUUUGCAACGGCCUGGGGCUACUUGGUGGAGCUCUCAUUUCCGUUCUAUCAGUAGGUUGCUUGAUUUGUUUAGUGUUGUUCGUAACGUUCUUAGGAAGUUGGUAGAGUGUGGACCUAACAAUAGUAUACGUGGAGAGGCUAAAGGUGCAUGUGAAUCAAUGACAUCUUUUAAAUUUGUGUUCAUUUUGCAUUUAUUAAAUAAAGUUUUGGGGGUGAGUGAUUUACUUUGUCAAGCAUUACAAGUUAAAUCUCAAGAUAUUCUAAAUGCUGUGCACUUAGUCUCAACUACGAAAAAACUUCUUCAAAGGCUGCGAGACAAUGGUUGGAAAACUUUUAUUGAGAACGUAGUUUUAUUUUAUGAAAAGAAUGAGAUAGAUAUGCUUGAUAUGAAAGCUCGCCAUAUGAAAGGCAGAGGACGUUCUUGUCAGCAGAAUAAUUAUAUUAUAGUUGAGCAUUAUUAUCAUUAUGAUAUAUUUAAUACUGUGAUAGAUUUUCAAUUGAUGGAGUUGAAUAAUAGAUUUAUUAAACAGACUUUGGAACUCCUCACUCUUAGUUCAGCUUUAAAUCCUAUUGAUGCAUUUAAAUCAUUUAAAAUUGAAGAUAUUUGCAGCCUUGCUGAAAGAUUUUAUCCUGAAGAUUCACUAAGAUUGAGUUACAGGCUUUGAGAAGACAAUUAGAGUGCUUUGAGAUAGAUAUACACUCUCUUCUAGAGUUUCAGAAUAUUACUUCCCUUUCUAAACUGUGUCGAAGAUUGGUUGAGACUAGAAAGUCACGGAUUUAUUUCUUGUUGGAUAGAUUAAUUCAUUUAGUGUUAACCCUUCCUGUUUCAACAGCAACAACAGUUGAGAGCAUUUUCUGCCAUAAAACUGAUUAAGACAAUACAUUGAAACAAGAUGGAGAAUGUGUUUCUUUCAGAUUGUAUGGUUAUUUACAUGGAAAGAGAAAUUACAAACAAUAUUGACUCAGAUGCGAUAGUAGAUGAAUUUUUUUUUUGAAGAACCGCAGGACACAUCUUCAUCAAUAGUGUUUUUCUUAUUUACAUUGUAUUUUUAUAGUUUUAUGGUUAAAUUUUUGCGCUUAUGUAGUGUGCUUAAUUUCAUUUAUAUAAAACAAUUUUUUUGGGAAGUAAAUUUCAUUUUUUUUUAAAUCUAGCCCACCCAAACAAAUGAUGCUAGCUUCGCCAUUGGAGGUUAUCAGAUAGAUGGUCAAAGAAGCAAUCUUGUAAGUCAUGGAGUAUGCAUAUAAUGUAAGAAUGGCAACAGACAAAUAUCAGGUUAUCUCUUGUAAACCAUAUUGAUAAAUCUAAUGAGGGAAAGAUAUUUUUUUUUUGUCCUAGAUGACGUGUGGGAUGGAAGUUACAAUCAAUGGGAACCAUUCAUCUAUUGUUUAAAGAAUGGUCUCUACAGUAGUCAAUUUUUUGAUUACUACACAUCAUUAGAUAGUAGCAAGCAUUAUGAGAUUAACAAAUAUUAUUUUUAUUAAGGAAUUAACUGAAGAAGAAUGUUGGUCAUUGUUUAAGCAAGUAGUAUUUUUUGGUCAAUUUUUUAAGGAUAGUGACCAAAUGAUAAAAAAAAUUGCAUGCAAGGCCUGCCUCUUAUUGCAAUCCAAACUAAACUUGAAUUUUUGAUUUGAUACAAUCCAAUCUGAAUAUUCUAACCCAAUCAACCUAAAAUCCGAUUAAGUUAAUCUGAACACAAAUUUGCCCACUCCUGGCGAGGAUCAUGACCCUACAAGCUUUGAAAAAAUUUGAGGUUUCGAAGUGAAAUAUUAAAAAUUAGGUAUAAAAAAACUGAUUUGACCCCUAAGAACUUGAUAUAUAAAAGAUGCAGAGCAGAGGCAAAUGAAGCUCGACGAAGUUGUUACUGAUUGGCUGGAUGAGCUCAGAGACGCAUCCUACGACAUGGAGGAUGUGUUGGAUAAGUGGAUCACUGAAACACGGAAAUUGCAGCUUGAUGAGGGCGGCGAUGAUGACGAUGCUCUUGCUCUUGCUCCUCCUAAGAAGAAGGUAUGUUCCUUAUUUCGUGCUGCCUCAAACUACUUAGCUGGUUUCAAACAACUCAUUCUUCGUGAUGAUGUUGCUGUCAAGAUUAGCGAAAUCAGUGAAAAGCUAGAUGGUAUUGCCACUCGAAAAGAUAUGUUUAACUUUGUUGAGAAUGUGAGUAACAAUGUUAAGAAAACAGAGCAAGUGCCAACCACCUCCUUGAUUGAUGAGGGAGAGGUUUUUGGUAGAGAUGACGAGAAAAAUGAGCUGUUUGGUAAGUUGUUGGGUGAGAGUGGCGAACAACAUCCUCAUAUCAUCUCACUGGUUGGGUUAGGGGGUAUAGGUAAAACCACUCUUGCACAACUAGCCUAUAAUAAUGAUGAGGUGAAAAGAAAUUUCGAAAAAGUUAUAUGGGUGUGUGUAUCAGACACUUUUGAUGAGAUGAGGGUCGCCAAAGCAAUCAUUGAAGGUCUAGGCGAGUCAGCUUCUGGUUUAAGCCAAUUCCAAUCUCUUAUGAGCCAUAUCCAUAGAUCAAUUAAAGGAAAAAAAAAUUUAUUGUCUUAGAUGAUGUAUGGGAUGGGAAUUAUAAUAUAUGGGAUCAAUUUUUCUUUUGUCUAAAGAAUGGUCUUCCCGGAAGUAAAAUUUUGGUUACCACACGUAAUGAGUCAGUUGCAAAUAUGAUGCGAACAAUAGAGUUAGAUAUUAUCUCCAUUGAACAACUAGCUGAAGAGGAAUGCUGGUUGUUGUUCAAGCGGUUGGCAUUUUUCGGUCGCUCUUUCGAGGAUUGUGAAAAAUUAGAACCAAUCGGGCGAAAAAUUGCACGCAAGUGCAAAGGCCUGCCUCUUGCUGUAAAGGUAAUAGGGAAUCUCUUGCGCUCUAAACGUACAGUAAAAGAGGCAAAGAAUUUUAGAGAGUGAAAUGUGGAAGGUAGAAGAGAUUAGGGAAGGUCUUUUGGCUCCUUUGUUGUUGAGUUAUAACGAUUGCCCUGUAAUUCUAUGGUAAAACAGUGUUUCUCAUAUUGUGCUGUCUUUCCAAAAGACUAUAAUAUGGAUAAACAUGAAUUGAUUGAUAUGUGGAUGGCUCAAGGUUACCUUAAUGCAGAAGAAGACGAAGACAUAGAGAUGAUUGGAGAAGAGUAUUUCAACAUUUUAGCAGCACGCUCUUUCUUUCAAGAGCUUGUGAAAGAUGAUGAUAAUAAUAUUAUGAGUUGCAAGAUGCAUGACAUAGUACAUGAUUUUGCCCAAUUUGUAGGUAGAAAAGAAUGUUUGUGGCUAGAAAUUAAUGGUACCAAGGAAUCAGUCAUAAACUUUUUUGGUGAGGAAGUCCAUCACUUAAGGUUAAAGUUUGAUGGAGAUACUUCAUUUCCUAUGUCUAUUCAUGGGCUUAAUAGAUUGCGUACCCUAUUAAUUUAUGAUGAAAGUCCUUACAAUCCGUCUCUUAAUAAUAGCAUCCUUCCAGAGUUAUUUAGUAAAUUGGCGUGUUUGAGGGCAUUAGUUAUAAGGCAGUCCCCAUUUUUUUGUCCAAAGUCGUUCCUAUAUUUUCAUUCUGACAAAAAUUGGAUUAGAGAAAUUCCAGAAAAUAUUGGAAAAUUGAUGCAUUUAAAAUAUCUUAAUUUGUCUGGACUGUGUAUAAAGAGACUACCUGAGACUUUGUGCGAAUUAUAUAAUUUACAAAAGCUAGAUAUUAGGCGGUGCCGAAAUCUUAGAGAAUUGCCAGCGGGGAUUGGGAAGUUAAAGAACACGAGGAGUUUACUGAAUGGUGAAACUUAUUCGUUGAAAUACAUGCCAGUAGGGAUUUCCAAAUUAACCAGCCUUCGAACAUUAGAAAAGUUUGUUGUGGGUGGAGGUGUUGAUGGUGGCGGCACGUGUAGGCUUGAAUCUCUGAAAAAUCUUCAACUCCGUGGUAAAUGUAGUAUAGAAGGGCUGAGUAAUGUGUCACAUUUAGACGAGGCUGAGAGGUCGCAACUUUACAAUAAGAAAAACCUCCUUCGUUUGGGUCUUCAGUUUGGUGGAGACGUAGAAGGGAGGAGGAAGAACGAGAAAGAUAAACAACUUCUUGAAGCCUUACAACCGCCUUUGAAUGUAGAGGAAUUAGUGAUUGUAUUCUACGGAGGCAACAUUUUUCCCAAAUGGUUGACUUCGCUAACCAAUCUAAGGGAACUAAAACUUUCCUCGUGCGUUAACUGUGAGCAUUUGCCUCCUCUGGGAAAAUUGCCUCUGGAAAAACUCCAACUAAAGAACUUGAAAAGUGUAAAAAGAGUGGGUAAUGAGUUUUUGGGAAUAGAAGAAAGUAGUGAGGAUGACCCAUCUUCAUCUUCAUCUUCAUCUUCAUCUUCAUCGUCAUCAUCAGUUAUUGCCUUCCCCAAAUUGAAAUCACUCAAAAUUGAUGGAAUGAAAGAACUGGAAGAGUGGAAUUACAGGAUUACGAGGAAGGAAAAAAUCUCUAUCAUGCCACGUCUUUCUUCCUUGAAAAUUGGUUCUUGCAACAAAUUAAAGGCGCUGCCGGAUUACCUUCUUCAAACGACGGCACUGCAGGAACUGAGUAUUUAUUUUUGUGAUCUUCUAGAAGAACUGCCCAUUCUAGAAGAUCGCAGGACAACAGACAUACCGCGUCUUUCUUCCUUGACGAUUUGGUAUUGCCCCAAAUUAACGGUGCUGCCGGAUUACCUCCUUCGAAUGACGACGCUGCAGGAAUUGACGAUUUGGUAUUGUCCUCUUCUGGAAGAACAUUAUGGAGAGGGGAAAGGAGAAGACUGGCAUAAGAUAUCUCACAUUCCCCACAUCAAGUGGUCGCCGUAAGAUAUCACUCGCUGGUAAUUUCUCCUCCUCUGAUUUACUUUGUUGUUGCUUGCAAUGAAAUUAAUAAAAAUAAUUAUAUUUUGAAUUAAAAUUCUGUAUAUUGCCAAUGCCUGACAGGAAUAUAUAAUAUUUUCUAAUAUUUUGAUUUGCGUAUUGAAUUUAACUAUUUACUUGAACCAUUAAUUUAAUGGAUCACUCUAUGAUACUGUUACAAAAAUUAUAGAAUCAAUUAUAGUAUAAAUAUGUACUGUUAGAUUUAAUCAAUAGUUCAUAAAGUUAAAAGUUAGUUAAGAUAAUAUUUUAAUUUUAGUUAUUUAAAAUUUAAACUUCCUAGUUAUCAAAUAAGUUAAACUUGUUUUCUAAAGAUUAAAUAAUUAAAAAUACAAGUUUAGUCUGUUGAAAUUUCUGUAUUUUCUUUUAAAAUAUAUGCAGUCUUUUGUAAAAUUUCAUAUAACAUCAUAGAAAAUCCUAACGUAUUUUAUUUUUUAAUGCACGGAAAUUUGUUAUGUGUAACUUCCUGAGAGACAAAAUCUCUGUGAUACAUUUGCAGUAAUGUUGAAAACUAAAUUAUCAAUUUUAUCUUGUAUAAUGAUAAUCGUAUUUUUUUAUAUAUAAUUUAUGUGACAUUAAUUCUUUAAAGUAAUUGUGUAAUUGUUUUUACUACAUUAGCCCUCUUUGUUUUAUUAAAUACGAGUUUAAUUAUGUUCAUCAGGGAUUCGAGGAAAUGUCAGAACCACACUAGCAAUUCGCAGGUCCAAGCUAAUUUGGUUUUAAUAAUGCAGGCAGGAGAGCAAGACUAUGAAAAUGAAAAAUUUAGCCAAAGGAUUGCUAAAAUGUUUUGCUGGUAAUUCACUUGCUUUAUUUUAUAGAAUUUCAUUUCCAUCUUCUUCUAUUGAUAUCUUGUUGUGAAUAAACAAGAACAGAGAAGUAAAGAUAUAUAUGAAAAUUCCCUAUUAGGAUGAUGCUAAAGCAAGCUCAAGCUCAAGCAUUGCAUUUUUAUUUUAUUUAAUUUAUAGAAUUUUCAUUUCUACCUGCAUUGCAUUUUUGUUUCAUUUUUUGGUUGACUUUGAAAACUCUAUGGAGAACAUUGGGGUAACCAAGGAUUAGGCUGGCAGUGGAACGACUACCACUGUGGUUAUUGUGCAACGUUUUGUCUGCUCUGUUUCAAUUGAGGAUGGAUAGCUGCCUGAAAGACAUGAUGAUUAUUAUUGCAUGAUGUUAAGGUGCUAAGAUUAUCAUUUCUAUCUUUUUUCAUUCUUUGAUCGGUUUAUCCUAUAUAAACAUAUGGAAUUAUGCUAAUAUUAUCAAAAUUUCCACCCAAUUUUCACUGUUGGUUGUGAUAACAUUUUCAGGCUCUCAAAAGCUACAAAACAAAGCAUUUGUGGGCUGAUAAUUUCCACAAAUUUGCAUUGUCAGAAUGCACUGUAAUGUUCAUUGUGUUCCUAUGUGUUAUCAGGUUAUCGUGGUAUGUAAAGUAUCAUCUUUAAGGAUUUGUAAGAGACUUUGCAGUGAACUUAGUUGUCACCAGCUCCUGCAAUUGCUCAUUCAUUCAAGAGUACUUCAAAAUUAGAUUUUCAAGGUUUGUAUGUUUAGUUGCGAUCAAAACAUUUAGUCACUCAUUCUUAAUCUUUUCUGAUUUUCAAGUUCUUUAAGGCCAUAAACAGUUUUCCAACUCAUUCUUAAUUUUUAGGUUGAUUUCGAGUACCCUGUUGAGGACAUUCCUGAGACCAAGGAUUAAGCUGGCGAGGGAACUGCUACCUCUGUUGUUAUUGUGCAAGGUUUGAUCAUUGGACCUUGAAGAAGAAUGCCUUACACGCAUUCUGUAAUUCAAGCAUUUUCUAAAGGAAAAGAGCAGUAGAAGGGAUAGUGAUGGCCGGAUCUGCUCUAUUUCAGUUGAAGAUCUCUGUGAUGUCGAUGAGCUUAAAGCAGUUGAUACUUCUUGAAAAUUAUUAUUACGGAUGAACUAAUUCCUGAAGACAGGUAUCCAAAUGCGUAUUUUCUUAAACUUCCAUUUUUAACAAAUGUUCCAACACUUGCUGGAGUAACAAUUUCAUAGCUUGCAUCUCUCGGGUGCAUCAUGUUCAGGGGUUGGAAAAAGCAUUUGUGGUAAAGCUUCAAAGCUUGUAAAAUGGCUGUGAAAAGGCACAUUCAAUUCGGUAUGCUUUGGUGCAGUCUUCUAAUGCUAAUAUUAUAUUUUGUAUAGCAAUCUUAAUAUGCAAUAAAUCAUUGUGUCCAAAGUUAUCUAUUAAUUAUAUGGUGACUGAAAUUUUAAUUAUCAUAUCAAUCUUAAAAUUUUUUGUAACCCUAUUUUACUUUGCUUGUACAGAAUACCUGUUUUGGCUGAUAUGUCUAAUUCCUAGAAAUUCAUUUCCAUUGGUUUUAGCUCAAACAGAAACCGAGAGCCCUGGGAAAAAGUUUUACUUUUUGUGGUAUUAUGCUUUGUUUCUUCAUUCAUCAUAUUUGUUUUGAAUUCAUGCUCUUAUUCAGAGAGUAAAGCCUUUUCCAGGCUGCUUUGUAGCCAAAUUUUGAUGCCAUCGAUGCAUGAUUGUCAUUUAGAUUUUCCAAUUAAUUGUUAGAUUGGAGAAGAUAAAAAGAUAUUGUUCAAAGGGUAUUUAAUUAGCACCCUCUGAAUUUAGUUGCCAAUAAUGCAUUGAAAUGGUUGGGCAAAGUUAUUGUCUUAAUUAAAUUACAGGCGAUAAGAUGCUGCUUCAAUUUUGCAAGCAUCUUGUACUGCGAAGAUUCUGCCCACAUGAGAUGCUGCGAUUCUUGACAUCGGGAUAGCAGAGGUCAAAUUUUAGUAUCAAUAUAUAUCAUCUUCUUUACUGUUCUGCCUCUAAAUAUUAAACUUUAAGCAAGUUUUUUUUUGUUUAAGUUAUCAGGUUAAGGAUACUAAGCCGCUUAUUAAGGCAAAUGUCAGAAUAAAGAUUGUUCACCACACCUGGUAUGUUUGAUGGCCAGGAAGAUUAAUUGUUCGCAAGCCAAUUUGAUCAGUGUUAGAUCCCUAAUAAUAAUGCAUUGGAUUUUCAUUUUAUUUUUAGGUUGACUUUGAAGACCCUAUGGAGAACAUUAGGGUAAUCAAGGAUUAGGCUGGUGAUGGAACUACUUCCACUGUGGUGUUGUGUGCAACGUUCAGUUGCUGGACUUUGAAGAAGAAAGUGAUGGCCAGGUCUGCUCUGUUUCAAUUGAGGAUGGAUAGCUGCCUGGAAGGCAUGAUGAUUAUUAUUGCAUGAUAUUAAGGUACUAAGGUCAUCAUUUCUAUCUUGUUUUUUUCUUUGAUCGGUUUAUCCUCUAUAAGCAAAUUCAAUUAUGCUAAUAUUACCAUUUUUUCACCCAAUUUUCACCGUUGGUUGUAUUAACAAUUUCAGGUACUCAAAAGCUACAGAGCACAGCACAUGUGGGCUGAUCAUAUGCUUCCAUGGAGGAAGGAAUUCGGUGUUAACACUAUUAUGCAGGUAACCGCAGUUGUUAAUUUGCACAAAUUUGCAUUGUCAGAAUGCCCUUUAAUAUUCACUGUGUUUCUUUUUGUUAUUCAGGUUACCAUGGUAUGUAGAGUAUCAUCUUUGAGGGUUUGUAAGAGCCUUUGCAGUAAAGUUACCUGCUCGAGCAAUUGCACAUUCAUCGAGUACAAUUUUGGAUUUUCAAGGUUUGUAUUUUUAGUUGUGAUUAGCAGGCUUAGUCACUCAUUCCUAAUCUUUUCUGAUUUUCAAGUUAUUUAGGUCCAUUAACAGUUUUCACACAUGUUUCAAUGCUGGUUGUAAUGACAAUUUCUCAUCUUGCAUCUCUAAGAUGCAUCACGUUUGAAACAGCUAUUGCGGUAAACUUUCAAUGCAUGUACAAUGGCCGUUAAGAGGUACAUUCAAUUCGGUACGUUUUGGUGCAGUCUUCUAAUGCUAAUAUCAUGUUGUGUAUAUUUAGUUUGCAAUUAAAACUUAGGUAUACAAUCUUAAUCUCAUAUAAAUCAUGGUGUACAAAGUUUUCUAUUAAUUAUAUGGUGACUAAAAGUUUAAUUAUCUUAAAAUUUUUUGUAACUCUCUUUUACUUUGCUUGUACAGAGUACCUGUUUUGGCUGACAUGUCUAAUUCGUAGAAAUUCAUUUUCAUGGGUUUCCAUUGGUUUGAGCGCAUACAGAAACAGAGCUUUACUUCUUGAGGUGUUAUGCCUUUGUCUCUUCAUUCACCAUAUUUGUUCGAAUACGUUGUCUCAUUAAGAAUUUAAAGCCUUUUUCUAGGCAGCUUUGUGGCCAAUUUUUUAUGCCAUCAAUGCAUGAUUGUCAUUUAGAUUUUCCAAAUAAUUGUUAGGUGGGGAAGAUAUUGUUAAAAGGGCAUUUAAUUUGCUACGUCCCCUAUGAAUUUAGUUGCCAAUAAUACAUUGAAAUUGAGAAGGCUAAUAGUUGAGGAAAGUUAUUGUCUUAAUUAAAUUACAGGUGAUAAGAUGUUGCUUGAAUUCAGCAUCUUGUAUUGCGAUGAUUUUGCCCACAUGAGGUUCUGUGAUUCUUGACAUCAGGAUAACUCAGGUCAAUUUUUUGUAUCAGCAUAUAUCAUCUUGUUUACUGUUUUGCCUUUAAAGAAUAAACUUUAGUGAAGUUGUUUUUGUUUGUGUAACUUAUCAGGUUAAGGAUACUAAGCAGCUUAUUAAGGCAAAUGUCAGAAUGAAGAUUGUUCACCACACCUGGCAUUUAUGAUGGCAAGGAAGAUUAAUUGUUCACAAGCCAAUUUGAUGAGUGUUAGAUUUUUGGCUUUAUAUAUUAUUAGAGCUCUCCCUUCUGAGAGAUAUCUCAUUAAAUUUGAGUAGAGCUCUCCCAAUAAUUGCAAGCUUUCAUUUGUUUGUAAAAUCAUCUUCUUAUAUUGAUUGUGUUUCCUUGUGUUAUCAGGUAGAGUAUCAUCUUCAAGGGUUUCAAAAAGUCUUUGCAGUAAAGUUUCAACCAAUUGCUGUGAAGAGGCAUAUUCAUUUGAGUAAUUCAGUUUCAGAUUUUCAGGGCGUGUAUGUUUAAUUAGUUUUGAUUAAAAUAUUUAGUCACUCAUUCUGAAUCUUUUCUAAUUUUCAAGUUCCGUAGGGCCACAACCAGUUUUUCAGGUCUGCAGAAACUAUCUUGAGUGUUGAGGAAUUGCGUUUGAGCACGCACAGAAACAAGGCUAAUGGAAAAGAACUUGACAGAAGAAUUAUGCUCUAAAUCUAACAAAAGUAUAUUUCUACUUCUUGUGGUUAUUUUACUUUUGUAUUUUCUGUCAUCAUUUUGAUUAAUUCAUUCGAAUUCAGACUCUCAUUAUUUAAAACCAUUUUCAGGUGGCUUGCACGCUAAUUAAGUUAACGCAGAAGCAUACUCUAGACAAAGAUGAGCAAAUUGAAGAUGAUAAAUACAUAUAUGGUGGCCAAGUCGCUCAUUACAUUUCAUCUCUCAUACGAACAUGAUUCUGAAUUUGAAUUUCCAUGAAUAAUUGUCGGGCUGGUGCAGAUAUUCUUAAAAGGGCAUUAAGCUACCUUAUGAAAUUGGAAAGUUAUCAUUGCUUGAAUGAAAGCACCAUCUUCUGUUGUCAAGGCUUUCCCCACACGAUGAGAUUCUGUGCUUGUUAUCGGCCGCUUAAUUAUUUAUUAAAUCAGGUUUUUGUUAUCAAGUACAUCAUCUUAUUCACCAUUUUGGCUAUAUAUAAAGAUUAAAAUUUCUAACAGUUGUUUUGGAUUCUUGUGUAAUCAGAUAAUUGGGGCAAAUGUCAGAAUGAGGAUUGUUCAGUGCUACUGGUACGGCAAUGAUGGUGAUGGUGAGGAAGAUUGUUCACAAGCCAAAUAGAGCACUCCAUUUUGUGAAAUAACAUCCUCAAAUUUGAAUUGUUGGGCAUAUGAAGUGAUGCUAAAGCCUUAAUAAUAGGACCUUCCAAUGAAAGUUUCAUUUGAGUGAAUUAUGGGAGAAUGAAAGUUCUUGGAGUGAGUGAGAAAUUAAGCAUAUAUCAGCGAGUAGUGAAUGUUUUUCUUUGACUGUGACGUAGACCAAAAGCUGAACAAUGUAAAAUUAUAUUGUUAUGCUUGGUUUGCUAUAUAUCAUUUCUGUGCAAUCAAGAAUGUAAUUUUGUAAUUAUUCAACUCUGCUUCCGCGAACAUGCGGUAUCUUGCAGUUUUUUUCUCCUUUUUUCUUUCUGCGUUAAAACUACAACAAAUGGAAGUGACUGGCUUGAUUUUAGCUCCUGUAAAAAAGUGCUUGGGGCAAUGUCUUUUGUAUCAGCAAGUUAUCAAACAUCAUAGUUUGAAUAUAGAAUCCUGAGUUGCUAUCGAAAAUUCCAGGUGUUUCACCUCUCAGUUUCUUAAAAGCUACAAAGCUUGAUAUAUAUUGACAAAGCAAACCGUCUGUGGGCUGAAAUGCUUCCCGGGAUCAGGAAGGAAUUUGGUGUUGACACUAUAUGUUAUGCGGAUAACUACAGUUGAUGAUUUUUACCCAAAAUUUGUCAUAGUUGACAAUUCACUUAUGCUGUGUUUACUUCACUUAUUUAGUGAAAGAUUGGGAAUCCCACUCUGUGGGCCCCAUAUAUUUUUGGAGUGGGGAGUGGGGGUGGGACUCCCAUUGGGGGAGGUGGGAGUGGGAAUCCACUCCCACCUCUUCCUUUUCUACCUUUUUUUUUUAAUUUUAAUUCAAUUUAAUAUUUUAUAAUUAAUAAAAUAAAAUAAAUAAUAUUAUAUUUAUUUGAAUAAUAUUAUUAUAUUUAACUAAAUAAUAAUUUGCAUUGAUUCUAAGUUAAAAUUAUUUUAAAAUAAUAUUAUUAUAUUAAUAGAGAAUUAAUAAAUAUAAUAUUAUUGUAUUUAUUUUAAAAAUAAUAGUACUAUAUUUAUUUAAUAUUAAUAAUAAUGAAUAGUUUAUUCUAAGAAAAUAUUAAUUUUGUACUAAAUAAUAUUAUAUUAUUAUUUUAUAUAAUAAUAAAUUUAAUAUAAUUAUAUUUAAAUUUAAUAUAAUUAUAUUAAAUAAAAUAAAAUAACGUUUCAUUUUAUAUUAGAAUUAAAAUUAAUAAAAAAUGUGAUGUUCAUAAUUAAGAAUAUUAAUAAUUAUUAUAAAUUUACAAAUAUAAUAAAAUAAAUAUUUAUUCAUUAAAUAUAUUUUUUAUUAGCUUCGUAAUUAAAAACUAUAAUUUUUUAAAUAAAGAUAAAAUUGUAAUUUGAAACUAUUUACUCUCAAUCCAAGACAAAGUAAACACAUAUAUUGGAUUCUGAUCUUCAUUCCAUACUUCCAUUCCAGUGUAAGUAAACAACUUAUUCCCACUCCCACUCCACACUCCCAAUCCUAGGAUUCACACUUCUCAGGAUUCCCACUCCAAUCCAAAAAGUAAACGCUACCUUACAGUGUUUCCUUGUGUUAUCAGGCUGUAAUGUGUGAAUUGAAAGAUUAAGAAAGAUUGAUUCUAACUAACUUAUGCAAUUGAUGAUUAUGAAAAAUCAUUUGCACUAAAGUUCCCAGCUUGUUUAAUUGCGGUGAAGAGGCACAUUCAUUCUGAGUACUUGAGUUUUAGAUUUCCAGGAUGUGUAAUUUUAGUUGCCAUUGAAAUAUUUAGUCGCUCAUUCUUAAAAAUCUGUUCUAGUUUUCCUGUUAUUUUGGGCCAUAAACAGUUUGACAAGUCUGCAUGUGGUUUCUAAAGAUUGAUGGUUAUGAUAAAUAUUGUGAGGUAUGAAAUAUUAAUUUGCUAUAAAUAUGUGUACAAAUUUUUCCUAUUACAUGGGGACUGAAAUUGUAACUUGCAGGGUCAAAAAAAAUCCUAAUUUGCUUUAGGUAUGAAAUCUUAAUUUGCUUAAGUGUCUGCAUUUGUGUACAAAGGAAAAAUAAGAAAUUCUGCUACAUGGGGACCGAAAUUUUAAUUGGCAGGGUCUUCAUCAAAUGUUUGUUAUCAAUACUGAUCCCGGAAUGUGUGGAACACGGUGAAAAGUUUUUCAUAGUUUUGUGAAGAAGGCUGAUUUAUCUGAUUCAUAGAAUUGUGAAAAGGGCAUCGGGCGGGGGACAAAAGAAGUGUUGAAAUUGAAAAGGUUAAUGGUUGAAGCAUGCAGUGUUGCAAUUAAGUUAUUAUUGUCUUGAAAUAACAGGAGAUGAUCAGAUGCUGCUUAAUGCAUGCAGUUUCUGUUGCAAUUGUAUUGGCCUGGGUUUAGGGAACUGUCAGAACUUUCAGAAGAAGAUGGAGUUUCUCAAACCAAAUAUAAGAAGAUAUCUCACAUUCCCCACAUGGUCUCAAUGCACAGGUAAGUUCUUCUCUAGCUCUGUUUUUCAUUGUUUGUUAUUUUUAAUGUAAAUAAGGAGCAGAGUUAAUCUCUUAUCUUGACCUUGCUUUGAGAAAACUGCUUUUACAUGUAUUUUUAAUUCAGAUGUCCACAAUAAUUUCAUUUUAGUUUGAGCUAAGUGAUAACUGUUGAAGGCUCACUCACUCAUUGGGAGAAGCUCCAUGACGCAGGCAGCUGGGAUUAGCUAGUGCAAUUGCUGUGAAGAGGCACAUUCAUUGGGAGAAAUUCAAUUUUAGAUUUUCUUAGUGUGUAUGUUUGGCUGCGAUUAAAAUGAUUUCUCUCGUUGUUAAUGAUUUCUGAUCAUUCAUCAUUUUGGACAGAGUUUGGAAAAAAAAAAUUAUACGUAAAUCACUUUCCAAUGGUUCAGUGAUUUUUGAUUGGUUGUAAAAUGUUGAACCUCUUUUCAGAUUUCCAAAUAACUGUUAGAUUGGAGAAGAAUAAGAAGAUAUUAUUAAAAGGAUAUUUAAUUAGCGCUCUCUGAAUUUAGUUGCCAAUAAUGCAUUGAAAUAGUUGGGGAAAGUUAUUGUCUUAAUUAAAUUACAGGUGAUAAGAUGCUGCUUCAAUUUUGCAAGCAUCUCGUAUUGUGAAGAUUUUGCCCACAUGAGAUGUCGUGAUUCUUCUGCUUCAAUACAGGUCAAAUUUUAGUAUCAAUAUAUAUCUUCUUCUUUACUGUUCUGCCUCUAAAUAUUAAACUUUAGGCAAGUUGUUUUUGUUUGUGUAAGUUAUCAGGUUAAGGAUUCUAAGCAGCUUAAUCAAAUUUGAGUAGAGAAUCUUUGAAUAGAAUUUUGUUGUGAGAGUUUCACUGUAGUGAAUUUUGGGAGCUUGAACUCACUUGAGUGAGAUAAUAUUAUCCUGGAACUCAAGUGAACUCAAGUAAGUACUAAAGCGCCUGGUUAUGGUGCUUUCAUUGGACUAUAUGCAAACAUGAGAUAUCAGCUAUUGUGUGGAUUUGAUAGAGCGGUCACCAACCAUUUUGAUGUUAUUGGAGUAGCACUGUUCUUAAGCACGGCUUUGAGGUCUCUCCGUCUUUCUUUUACGUAUUUGUCUAUUGAUCGACAUCUCUAAAUAUACAUUGAUAGACCAAAUUACUCUUGUUUUAAUGUUUUGUUUGUUGAACUUUGACUGGGUUAUUUGUUUAUUUGUCUCAUAUGAUGUUAAUGCGGUUCCUAUAAAAGUGGAUAUAGAUCUAUCACCUCAAAGUCUGAUUUCAAUUUUCCUUUACUUAAUCAACUAGCAUCCUUUCCAAGUCCAGAUACUUACCAAUAGUGAGACUUUGCUACGGAAGUACAAUUUCUCUUGUUUUACAGUUAAGUAUGUAAGAAUAGUUUCAAAUUUACAGAAUUCUGAUAUAGUUCUCUAAGGAAAUGCGGGUGGUGAAUAUGGUUCCAACUUUUAAUAGGCUUUAAUAGGCCCAUUUGUUCAGCCACAGUGAUUGCGGUCUAAAUUCUUCUUUACUGUCUAUAUGUGUUGGAGUUUGUCUAUUGUCCAACUUCUCCAAUGGAUUCCAUGCAGGGUUUUGAUGGUCUAAUUAGGAGAAAGAUCAACGGAUGACCUUUUGAAGAAGGCUUACACAACAGCCCAUCUCAGGAUGUCAUGGCUCAGCUCAAAAGUCCCCAGGUGGUUGAUACCAAGGAGUGCCAUUGUUUCUGGGCUUGGGCUCCUUGGCGUCAAACAAGAUAGUCCGGAGGAAGGUGACUGCAUAAAUUUCUUGGAGUUAAUGUAGUCAAUUGCCCAAUUUUGCUGCCUGUCGAAGAGACACAGCAUGGAAGUCGUCAUCAAACUCUGAGACACCUAAGAACUAGUAGGAGGUGGUGGUAUUCGCCUGGUGUUUCCUUGCAAGUAUGGUUCACUGAUACAGGGAUUCUUUUCUUAAUGUCUAAAUACUAUAUGUGAUACUAACAAGAAAUUAACUGAUGCAAAUGUUUGUAAGAAAGUUUCUGACUAUUCAUUUCACAGUGAAGGAAUAUAUACAUGUCUUGUACAUCAGUUAAGGAAAGAAUAAAUCAAGAAUAAAUCAAGAAUCCCGUGAAUAUAUAAAUUACAAUUGUUAAGCCAUAAACUACGUGCGUGACUCAAGGCUUGAAUUGAUCUUGCUGUGAUGAAGGGAUUGACAUCUAUUCAUUCUAUUAUGCCCCCGCAAGAUGGCGUCACCAUCGAAGACGCCAAUCUUGGAUCGAAGAGUUAGAAAUCGUUGCUUAGCCAAAGGCUUGGUGAAAAGAUCAGCAAGUUGUUCGGUCGUUGAAACAUGAGAUACCUUAAGGGAGCCUUCAAAUACCUUGUCUCGAACAAAAUGAUAAUCGAUUGCAAUAUGCUUCAUCCGAGAGUGGAAAAUGGGAUUUGCACAUAAAUAAGUGGCACCAAGAUUAUCACAUAAAAGGUGUGGAGGAGAAGAUAGAGUAAUGCCAAGUUCAGAGAGCAAAUUGACGAGCCAUGAAAUUUCAGCAGCGGUGGAAGCAAUGGCACGAUACUCUGCCUCAGUUGACGAUCUAGCAACUGUACGCUGCUUCUUUGAGCACCAAGAUAUAGGAUUACCACCAAAGUAAAUAAUAUAAGCAGAUAUGGAGCAAUAGUUGUCACGGUCACCAGCCCAAUCGGCGUCGGAGUAUGCAGUGAGUUGAAAAGGUUGAUGCCGCUUAAGAUGAAGACCAAAGUGAAGAGUAUUCUUUAGGUACCGAAGAAUACGCUUUGCAGCAGCCCAAUGAGUCUGAUUUGGAGCUUGCAUAUAUUGCGCAAGUUUGUUGACAGGAUAAGCAAUAUCUGGACGUGUCAGAGCCAAAUAUUGAAGGCCACCGAUAACACUGCGAUACAACGUAGCAUCUGCCGAAGGUUAGCCAUCGUGAUGAAGGAGUUGAAUUGAUGUGGACAUAGGAGUGACAUAGUCUUUGACGCCUUCCAUUUUUGUUCUUGCAAGGAGAUCUCUGAUGUAUUUUUGUUGAGAUAAAAAUAGACCAGUGGGUGUAGGAAUCACUUCAAUGCCAAGAAAAAAAUGCAAGUCACCUAGAUCUUUUAUCGAGAACCUCCGAGAUAGGGCAGCAAUAAGCGCAACAAUUGCAACUUUGGAGUUACCUGUUACUAAAAGAUCAUCUACAUACACCAAAAAAUAAAUCACAGUAGAGUUGGUGUUAUAAAUAAAUAAUGAAGCAUCUGAUUUGGAUUUGACAAAUCCAGAGAGAAGAAGAAAUUCUUGAAGUUCAUUAUACCACGCACGUGGUGCUUGUUUAAGGCCAUAAAGGGCCUUGUGCAACCGACAUACAUGGUUUGGUAGAGAUGCAUCAAUGAAACCAGGAGGUUGAGACAUAAAGACUUGCUCCGAUAGCCGACCAUGUAAGAAAGCAUUAUUGACGUCUAACUGAUGAACCUUCCAAUUGCGAGAAAGGGCAACGGAGAGAACUAGUCGGAUCGUGGUUGGCUUGACCACCGGGCUGAAGGUGUCAUGAUAAUCAAUACCCGGCCGUUGAUGAAAUCCUUUAGCAACUAAGCGGGCUUUAUACCUGUCAAUGCUUCCAUCAGGAUGUCUUUUAAUGCGGAAAACCCAUUUACAUCCAACAAUAUUUUGAGUGGGUGUGCGAGGAACCAACUCCCAAGUACCAUUCUUGACUAAGGCAUUAAUUUCAUCACACAUAGCAUGUCGCCAUUGAGGAUCUUUAAGGGCUUGUAUGGGACUGGUAGGCUCAAGGGAUAAUGGAAGAGGAUAUUUUGUCGUGAUGUUGAGGUGUUUGGGUUGAAACACACAGUUUUUGGAGCGUGUAGUCAUGAUAUGUUGAUUUUGAGAGCACGGCUCACGAUGGAUUUGGGGAAUAGAAUAAAUAAAGUUAGAAGAGUCAUUCCUUGGGGGUUGCUCAGUCUGUGGCAUAGAGGAUGACAUCUUGUGAGUUGAACCUUCCAAAUGAGGAUCCACUUCUGACAGUAAAAGUGCUUGUGACGAAUCAAUAUUAUUGUUGAAUGGACACAAAGAGUGGACAGCUUCUUUAAGUGGACAAGUCGAGAGUUGAGAAGAAGAAUGAGGAUUGGAAGUAUCUUGACUAAAAUGGACAGUUUGUUGAGUUGGAUUUACUUCUGACAAUGAAGGCGGAGAAUUAGGAGUUGAUGAAGAUUGUGUGAUCAGGGGAGAAGUAUUUGGAGGAGUUUGUAAAUGGGAGGGGUUGUUAAAAGAUGAAGAAUCCUUAAUUAUAGGAGAAUCGGGAAAGUUGUGCAUGGGAGAAUCACUAUGUGAACUGGAGGAAACACAUGUGGGAGACUUGUUGAGGAAGGGACCUGACUUGGUGGAGUGUGAUGUGGAAAGUGGGAUAUUAAAAAAUGCAUUAAGAGCAAAAGAUGGUGCUGACCAUUUGGAUAAAAGGUGAGAGUCAAAUGAAACCUUAUCCUGGGAGGAAACUAUAGAAGGAAAAUUAUCUUCAACGAACUGAACAUGUCUUGAAAUGAAAAUUUUUGUAGUUGAGGGAUCAAAGCAUUUGUAGGCAUUAUGAAGAUUAGAGUAACCCAAAAAAAUGCAAGGUCUAGAGCGGGGUUCUAAUUUAUGGCUAGUAUAUGGACGUAACCACGGGUAACAGAGACAGCCAAAUAUUCGUAACUUAGAAUAGUUUGGCAUUGUAGAAAAUAAUGACUCAAAAGGAGAUUUAUUCUCAAGAAUAGGUGUCGGUAACCUAUUGAUGAGAUAGAUAGCUGCUUGAAAAGCAUGUGACCAAAAUGAAGGGGGGAGAGAGGCUUUAUGUAGAAGUGAUAACCCAGUUUCAAUAACAUGUCGGUGUUUUCGUUCUGCAGAACCAAUAUGUUGAGGGGUAUGAGGUGGGGAAAAUAGAUGUUGAAUACCAUGAGAUUCAAUCAUAGAUUUGAGGCCACGAUAUUCACCACCUCCAUCUGAAUACAUAGUGACAAUAGAUGUUUUAAAAUAUUUUUCUACCAUUACUUUGUAUUUAGCAAAGAUAGAAAAGACAUCAGAUUUUUUUUGCAUAGGAAAAAGCCAAGAAUAUUUGGUGAAAUAGUCAACAAAAAUAACAUAGUAAGAAAAGCCAUCAAUUGAUUGAAUGGGAGAGGGUCCCCAUACAUCAGUGUAAAUUAAAUCCAAAGGACCUCGACUUGAAAGAGAUGAUACACCGAAACUCAACCUAUGACUUUUAUUACAUAAACAUGAAUCACAAAAAAAUGAACUACAUGACCGACUUGACUCAAUGGGAAGAAUUUUAUUAGACACAAGAUAUUUGAGAAUUUUAGAUGAUGGAUGUCCAAGGCGAUUGUGCCAAACAUCAAAAGAAGUUUUGAUUCCUACACAAGCUCUUUGAACUAUCAUCGAUUUCUUCCUCAUGGUUGGCCACUCAUAGACGUUGUUUCUACUCUGCCCUCGAAUGAGAUGUGCCCCCGUGGUUAGAUCCUUCACAACAAAAUAAGAGGGAAAGAAUUCAACAGAUGUUUUAUUAGAAUUACAAAAUUGAAAAACAGAGAUUAGAUUUUGUUUUAUGGAUGGGACACAUAAAACAUUAGAUAAGGAAAAUGAAGUGGUAGGAGUGGAGAGUUUAGAGGAACCAGUAUGUGUGAUAUUUAAGCCUGUACCAUCACCGAUGACGAUGUCAUCAGGGCCUUCGUAAGGUUGGUGCAGAGGGAGGUUAUUGAGAUCCCCAGUCACAUGAUGAGAAGCAGCAGAGUCCAUCAGCCAAUUCGGUGAAGCAUUGGUGCCGGUUGCAGUGUGAUUUGCAGUUGGAGGAUGUUCUCGCAGCAUUAUCUUCUUGGCAUGAUAACAUUGACGAGCAGAAUGUCCUCUUUUCCCACAAAAUUGGCAAAUGACAUUGGGAUUUUUACUGGUGUUGGUGUUGGGAUUUUCGGAUUUAUUGGAAGUUCCUUGCCCAUUGCCUUGACCAUUGUUACGAGGCUGAUUGUUCCAGUUUUUGUUGUUGCCUUUCUUGCCAUUUUUAGUAUGGGAAUGAGUGCUGUUGACUGUCAUUGGAGGGGAUGAUGAUUGACCUUCUUCACGUCGAAGGAAGGACUCGUAUUCGACGAGUUUAUCAUGCAAUUCUUCAAAUGAGAUCACUGUGUCUCGAGCUCGAAUAGCGGCAGCUAUUUCCUUGAAUUCUGGACCGAGACCAUUUAAGGCAUGAAUGACUAACUUGAUGUUAUCCAAAGGUGCACCUGCAAGAGCAAGAUCAUCAGCAAUUGUGUUAAUAGAGCCAAGAUAGUCAGCAACUGAUGAAGAGCCACGAGAAAGCUUCAUCAAUGUUUCUUGAAGUCCCAUAAUUCUGGUUGUUGAUUUGUUGGCAUACAAGCCUUCAAGUUUUGCCAAGACCUCACUUGAUGUCUUUGCAGAUGAUACACGUGGUAUAAUUGAAUCUGAAAGUGCACCAAUUAUCGCCAGGAAUAGAAGUUUGUCCUGACGCAUCCAAACCGUAUAUGCAGGAUUUGGAGAUUUAGAACCAUUGUGGUCUAUAGUUGGUGGCGGGCAUGGAAGUGAGCCAUCAAUGUACCCAAUUAGGUCAUAUCCAAAUAGCAUGGCAUCAACUUGUGCCUUCCAAGAUGGAUAGUUUAUUGUAGUGAGUUUAAGCGGAAGUUGGGAAGAGGUAAUUGCAACAAGGUUGAUUGGGAGGGUUGGGUUGGUUAAUAAAGUGGAGGCAAUGCUGUUGACACUAGUUGAAUUUUCUGCUGCCAUUUGAAGGAAGAAACACAAAGGUUGUUGGUUAUUCUUUCACUCGUGAGAGCUAUUACGGCUCUGAUACCAUAACAAGAAAUUAACUGAUGCAAAUGUUUGUAAGAAAGUUUCUGACUAUUCAUUUCACAGUGAAGGAAUAUAUACAUGUCUUGUACAGUCGAAGAGACACAGCAUGGAAGUCGUCAUCAAACUCUGAGACACCUAAGAACUAGUAGGAG